GGCCUCUGUUCCAAAAACUUCGUUUCAAGCUACAAUUACGGGACUCAGGUGGUCGAGUUGACGGAUCGAGUGAUCAAUUUAAAGAAAGACGGAGAAAAAAUUGAAGUCGUUGUUGAGAAGGCGCCGGAUGGUGCAGCAAUUGAAUUACCUCUUGAUCACACAGUUGUUGGUCAAGAACUAUUACUUGAUCAAGUUUGGAGAUGUAUCACUGAUCAGGAAAAUAACAGGGGAAUUAUCGGCUUGUAUGGUAUCGGGGGAGCCGGCAAAACUACCCUUUUAAAACAAGUCAACAACAACUUCUGCCAUCAACAGCAUAAUUUUGAUGUUGUUAUCUGGGCGGCUGCGUCAACACUUCAAGAUGACAUUGGAAAAAGGAUUGGCUUUUCAGAAGACAGAAACUGGAAGGAAAAAAGUUUAUAAUUAACGAAAGGGCCUUUUUCUUUUUUUAAAUCCCGCUAAAGGUUAUAAUUAACAACAAAUUAAUAAUAGAAGAGAGAGAAAUACCAAGUUCAAUAUGGUAAUAUUUUAUCUUCCCUUAACUGCUCCCCUUUGGCUUAUAAUGCGACCUUUAUACUCGUUGACAAAAUUGUAUUUGUCGCUUAAGUCUUGUUUGUUUUAAAAUGCUGGCAUAUUUAUGGAGUGGGAACUAGGGAUGGCAAUGGAGUGGAUUUGAUCCAAGAUCCAUGUGAUCCAAAUCCAAUCGGAUCGGAUUUGGAUCGGUUUAAAAUGGAUUUGGAUAUCGAUGUGCGGAUCUAAGACAGAUAUGGAGCAGAUAUGGAUCUAUCUUAAUAUCUAAAUCCAUAUCCAUAUCCACUCAUCUUUUAAUUUUAUUUUAUUUUAAAAGUUUAUUAAUAAUUGUGGAAUGAUAAUGAUAAUAAAUUUUAUUCAUAGCAUAUUAGUAAUAUUUACCAUGAAUUUAAACUCUUAAAACUUAAAGGUUAGUUUUGUAAAUUUAAAGGUCAGCCAGCCUCAAAACAUGUACAUGCAAUAUUCAAAUUGCAAUCCAAGUAAUAUAACCUGGUAAUAUAUUUUAUCAUAUUGGCCAAAUAAUUUUUAAGGAAUAUAGUUAUUCAUAUAUUUAGUCAAAUGUGGUCAUAAUAAAAAUAAUAAAUGACUGAAUAUAAAACAUAUUUAAUUUAUAUAUCAUUAUCUAAUGUUGUAGGAAUGAGGGUAGGUGUAUCGUGAAUACUAGAAUGAUGAAGGAGACAAUAGAAUAUUAGAUUGAUCUUACUCCUGCAAUUACUUCUGAAUGAUAUUUUAUUAUCUUUCUUAUUUGUUGUUUUGGUAUAGAAGUAUAAGCUACAAUAUUUAUUAUAUUUUUGAGAAAAAUUAUAUAAUUUAUUUGUUAUCAAUACAUUUUAGCCUUCAAUUUUCAAUCUAAAAAAUUAUUACUUUUUUAUUACGGAAUUUUAGAAUUCAUGACGGAUCUAGAGCAGAUUUGGAUUUUAAUUUUUUUUCGGAUUUGGAGCAGAUAUAGAUAUUUAUUUCUUUUUUGGAUCUGGAUAUGGAGCGAAAAAUAUGGAUUCAUAACAGAUCUGGAGCAGAUACUGAUCUUGAUUUUUAUUAUGGAUUUGGAUCUGGAGCAGAGUAGAUCCAACCCAUAUCUGCCCCAUUGCCAUCCCUAGUGGGAACCCAGAUGCUGAACUCAUAGUAAAUAUUUAUUUAAUUUGUUAUAAUUACAUUUGGUGGGAUAAUUUUAAAUAUUAAUUUAACAAGAUAGUGAUGUUUGCCUUGCCCUACAUGAAGAAAAAUAAGUAAUUAAAGAUUUUUCUUUUCCUUUAUAUUAGUAAUAGAUUUCAAAUGGAAAACAGACAAAUUUCAUUUUUGUUUCAAUAAUUACCCUAUCACUGUGUGCGUGCGUGAUCACAUAAUUUUGUACUACCGUCUGUGGAAUAACUUUAGGAAAAGAAAAUUAAUUUUUUUUAAGUAAUGAUAAAUAUUUUAAAAUUUUAUCUUAAAUUGUUUUCUUCUCUUAUCAAUUUUUUUUUUCUCCUAUCUUCCAAUGAAAGUGCAGGACCUCAAUUAUUUUAAUAGAGAUGUAGUAAUAAAUUAUUAAUGAAACAUGUCAAAUCCAAUGUAUAGAUAAUAAUAAAAUGAGGCUAAUGCUAAGUUACAUACAUGUAACUUAGGGGAUCCAUAAAAUAAAUAUACAUGGUUUCAAAAAAGUUAGCACAUGCUUGUUACAAAUAUAAAACAUUAUCUUAAAAGUCUCUGAACUUUUGUGUUCUCUUUAACAUUUUUCUCUUAUGUUGUUUUUGUACUAUAUGGAUACAAGAGUGCGUUUGGCACGCUGUAUUAUAUUAUGUUGUAUUGCAUUAUUUUAAUGCAGGUGUAUUGCAUUAUGUUGUGUUGCAUUAGUAAUGUAUUAUAAUAAUGUUGUACAAUGUUUGGUACUAUAUUGUACUGUAUUAAUUUUUAAUUAUAUUAUAUUUGAUAUUGCACUAUAUUGUAUUAAUUUUUUGUGACUAAUUUAAAUUAUAUAUUUAGAAAAUACUAAUGAAUUGUGCUAAACAAUCUAAUAAUUAUAUAUUUUAUUAAUUUUUAAUUAAUAUUAUUCAAAUUUAUUCAUAUUUAAAUAUUAUUAUUAGUUAUAUUAAAUUAUUUAAAAAUAACUAGUUUAAUUAUUUUAAUAAAUUAAAUAAUAUUAUAUUAUAUUAUAUUAUUUAAGUAUUUAUUAUUAGUUAUAUUAACUUAUUAAAAAUUAAUUAAUUAAAUAUAUUAAUUGAUAUAAUUUUACAUAUUAAUUAAUAUAAUAUAAUUAAAUAAUACAUUUUUUAGUUGUACAUUUACUAUGAUAAAAAUUAAAAUAUAAUAUAAUAUUAUUAAACAAUAAAUUUAUUAAUUUAUAUUAAAAUUAUAAUGUAAAAAUAAUAUUAUAUAAUAUAAUAUUAAAUUAAAAAUUAUAUUCAUUUAUCAUUAUUACAAAGUAUAUAAAAAAAAAAAAAAAAGAGGAAGCUAAAACUAAAGUGGUAACUGGACGCAUUAGCUAAACCCGACUAUAUGUCGGGUUUAGCUAAUAUAGCCAUUUGGUACCCCAAACAUGGGGCUGCAUUGCUAAUGUAAUGCAAUCCCAGGUAAAGAGGGGUACCAAACAACCCCCAAGUUCACUUAAUGUAACAUAACAUACUUUUAUAUAUAUAUGUAUAUAUAUAUAUAUAUAUAUACACACUACGUGGAGGUGAGCUCCUUAAGGUGAGAUUUAUCAAAAUUAUAAAUUAUUACAACAUGAAAUUUAUUCUUAUUUAUAAUUGACCUAAUAUAAAUUAAGAUCGUUACUUUUAUAGCUACAUGAAAUUAUUCUUAUAUAAAAUAUCACUACAUAAAUGUUUUAUUGCAAUAUUGAUCUCUCUUUUUUCUUUAUUGUAUUUAUCUCUUCAUAAUCUUUUCCUUUUUAUUAAAAAAAAAUCAAAUAAAAGAUUCAUCAACAUCUCAGUCCAACAGUCUACCAGCGAAAACGAGUGUCCAUGCUUUUGAACCAAGGCCCAAUAUGUGAGGGAGAGAUUGUUGGGUUGUCUUAUAUCGGUUGUGAACUAGGAUGGGAUUGAAUGAGACCCAAAACUGCCUAACAUGAAUUCUAUCACUGGGAUUUUUACCCAGUAUAACAAACAUAACACAACGAAUUAUCAAUUUAUCACCUAAUGGCUCUAACUUUAGCGAUGAUCACCUUACAUGAACAUGAAAAUUAAUCCCAUUGUUUAACUCAACACUGACGAUAAUCACUUAAACUCUUAUGCACCGAAGGAUAUACUCGCUACAGGGAAUCUUAACUCAUAAAGAUGCUCCCACAUCUUCCAUUAAGUUUCCAUCGAACAACUAUUCAUAUCAUUCGAUGAAAAAUUAAUUUUAGUGAGGGCCAAAAGAGCACGAGUGAUCCAAACCACUAAACAACAUCAUAACCAACACAAAAUUCAUACUAAACAAACCAUUACCAAAACAGCAAAGCUAGACAUAAAUUUGAACAGAUACACAAGCUACAUUCAUUACCAUAAUGUAUCGACUAAAUUUCCAAGCUCUCCUGUGCUGCUUGUCUAACUGAUUCAAAUCCACAUAGAUAAAUUUAAGCACAUUAAGUUUUCAAACUCAAAUCAAACAGCUUUAAAAGUUACUUCACAAACAAUGAAUUUCAUUUUCGAAAUACAAAGAAUCCGUUCAGUUUAAAACAAUAAAAAAUCGUCUACGACUACUCAACUCAUGUAUUAUAACUAAAAAAACGAAGGAUACCCACAAAAAUUAAAGAUAAAUUACCAAAAACCCAAAAAACUCAAGCCAAAAUUGCCAAAAAAAAAAAAGCGAGAGAAUGGAAAUUGGGGUACCAGGGGCGGGCGAGAGGAAACGAGAAGAGGAAGAAAGAGGGGUUUUAGAGAGAGUGGGAAUUAGUGGAGGCAAAAAUGGAGAGUUUUGCCUCCACUAAUGAUUGGUGGGGUGGUGAUGGCGGUGGUGGGGUUAAUGUUCUGGAGGGUAUGCUGAAGAGAGGUCGCAAGAGAACCUCCAUAGCCUUUAAAGAGAGUUGAGUUGCUGCUUUCUUUUGCCGUGGAUGGAGAGAGAUUAAGGGAUUAGAAUUCUGUAUGGAAUUUACUUUUUAUUAAAUAAAAAAUUAAUGUUAAAAUCAUUUUAUUUUAUUUUUUUAUCUAGUUAUCAUUGACUUAAUAUUUUGGAUCUUCAUCCAAAGUAAAGGCACAAAAUUUUUAUUCUAAAUAAAUAUUCUCAAUAUAAAUUUAUCACUUAAAUAAUAAAUGAUAAGAUUUUAUAUUAAUUCUGUCAUUACUGAAAUGAAUUACAAAUUUUAUAUGACGUGUAAACGUAUCAUUAUAUUCUUGAUAUUUGACAUCUUGACUAAAGCAACAAAUGUAUCAUAUUUUUAUUUUGGUAUUGUGGUUCUCUAAAAAUACCCUCACCAAAUUAGCUUAAUUCUUUUCAUUGUACCCAUUGCUUCUCUUCCUCUUUUCGUCAACGACAAUGGGUAACUUAAUCUCAACCUUCUUACCAGCAGACUUAUUUGAUCGAACUUCAAACUGCGUUGGUGAACAAGCAAAAUAUGUAUGGGGUCUCGAAAAAAAUCUUCGGGUCUUGGAGACUGAAUUGCACAAAUUGACUCGAGCAAGGGCCGAUCUGAAGACCAAGGUUGAGGUCGAAGAACAACGACCUCGAACCAGACGAACGAACCAGGUCGCAGGGUGGCUUGAAGAUGUGCAAAAUCUGGAAACUGAAUUUACCGAGCUGGAACGAGUUAGAGCUCAUGAAAUGGAUAGAUUGUGCCUUGGAGGCCUCUGUUCCAAAAACUUCGUUUCAAGCUACAAUUAUGGGACUCAGGUGGUCGAGUUGACGGAUCGAGUGAUCAAUUUAAAGAAAGAUGGAGAAAAAAUUGAAGUCGUUGUUGAGAAGGCGCCGGAUGGUGCAGCAAUUGAAUUACCUCUUGAUCACACAGUUGUUGGUCAAGAAUUAUUACUUGAUCAAGUUUGGAGAUGUAUCACUGAUCAGGAAAAUAACAGGGGAAUUAUCGGCUUGUAUGGUAUGGGGGGAGUCGGCAAAACUACCCUUUUAAAACAAGUCAACAACAACUUCCGCCAUCAACAGCAUAUUUUUGAUGUUGUUAUCUGGACGGCUGCGUCAACACUUCAAGAUGACAUUGGAAAAAGGAUUGGCUUUUCAGAAGACAGAAACUGGAAGGAAAAAAGUCUUCAAGACAAGGCUGUGGACAUCGCUAGCAUUUUAAGCGGAAAGAAGUUUGUGUUGUUAUUAGAUGAUGUAUGAGAGCGCAUUGAUUUAACAGAAUUGGGUGUCCCUCUUCAAAAACUAAAUGAUGGGUCCAAAGUAGUCUUGACAACUCGUUCAGCUGGUGUUUGCGAUCAAAUGGACGCUGAAAAGUUGGAAGUGUAUAGUUUGGCGCAUGAUAAAGCCUGGGAAUUAUUUCAGGAGAUGGUCGAAAGAUCCACUCUUGACAGUCAUACCAGUAUUCCAGAGCUAGCCGAAACCUUGGCAAGAGAGUGUGGUGGGUUGCCGCUAGCGCUUAAAAUAGUGGGUCGAGCGAUGAAAAGCCAAAGGAAAGUUGGAGAUUGGAAACGUGCAAUUAACAAAAUGAGAACAUCAGCUUCUAAAUUCUCAGGUAUGAAGGAAGAGGUGUUUUCGCGUUUAAAGUUCAGCUAUGAUAGUUUGUCUACGGAUGAACUUCGUUCCUGUCUCCUGUAUUGUUAUUUAUAUCCUGAAGACUACGAAAUUCCUAAAAGGGAAUUGAUUGAUUAUUGGAUUAGUGAAGGAUUUGUGUAUGAUUUUGAUGAUGGAUGCGAUUUUAUUGAUGACCUUCUUCAAGCAUGCUUAUUGGAGGAAGAAGGCGAUGAUCAUGUAAAGAUGCAUGAUAUGAUUCGUGAGAUGUCAUUAUGGAUAGCGUGCACGGUAGACAAGGAGGAGCAGAACUUUCUGGUUCGCGCUGGAGUUAAAUUGACCGAAGCACCAAAGGUUGAAGAAUGGGAAGGUGCCAAACGGAUAUCUCUGACGGCAAAUGGAAUUGGAAGCCUAUCGGAAAUUCCCACGUGUCCACGUCUCGUCACUUUACUUCUGGAUGGAAAUCGGAUUGAGGAGAUUACUGAUGGCUUCUUUCAAUCUCUGUCGACUCUUAGAGUAUUAAGUCUAAGAGGAAAUUUUCCCCCAAGUACACUACCUUCAGGGAUUUCAGGUUUGGUUUCAUUACAUCAUCUUGAUCUUUCUUCGACUGACAUAACUGGGUUGCCGCAAGAGCUGAAGGCAUUGGAGAAGCUGAGAUAUUUGAACUUGGACUAUGCAUUUCAUUUGUCUAUAAUUCCACAUCAAUUGAUAUCUUGUUUUUCAAAGUUGGAGGUACUCAGGUUGUGUGGGUGCGGUCGCUUUGGUGUAAUAAAAGGGAAAGAAGGUAACGUUCUAUGUGAUGGUGCUGAACCUUUGAUGAAGGAAUUGCUGGGUUUGAAGCAUUUAAAUGUUUUAAGCUGGUCCUUCGGAAGUUCACUUGCUGUCCAAAAGUUUUUGAAAUAUCCAAAGCUGGUGAGCAUCACUCAAUCUGUAUGGGUUGAAUGUGGCACGUAUACAAGGCCACCGUUCAAUGUCUUACAUCUGGCAUACAUGGAGAAUCUUCAGGAGUUAGAACUUGAAUCCUGUAAUUUGGAAGAGAUGAAGAUUGACAGCACAGAAGAGGUAAAGAAACUUUUUCGAAAUGGUUUCCGCAAUCUUAACACAGUUGUCCUAAGGUCUUGCAGAGGGAAGGACUUAACGUGGCUUGUUUUUGUUCAAAAUCUCAAGCAGCUAAAUAUGCAGGGUUUUACUAUGGAAGAGAUAAUCAGUGUUGAAAAAUUGAGUGAUAUUUCAGAGGUAAUCGGGUCAGAGCAUAACUUUUUCCCACGACUCGAAUAUCUAACCAUGUGGCGGGGAACAAAUUUAAAGAGCGUUUACCCGAAUCCCCAGCCUUUUCCAAAGCUGAAGAAAAUUCAAGCAUUUCAUUGCCGACAGCUGUAGAAGCUCCCACUCAAUUCCAGCAGCGCGAAGGGACGUCGAGUUGUGAUGACAAUGCUAUAUUUGCUGCAGGACUUGAGUAAAAAUAAAAACAGCAAGAUUUGAUUAUGCUGUCAAUAAAAUCCUGCAAGAUUGUAGGAAAAAAAUUUGUUUUUAAAUUUUAUGAUAUCAGAUAUAUGUUAAAGAUAUGUAGGCAGAUUUUUUGGCUUUGUUUGUUUCUUUUCAUGUAUAAAUUCAAAUACUGCAAUAAUGAAUAAAAUACUGCAAUUAACAGACCCAAUUUCUAUGUGUUCUCUUUUCUUUGUUUAAAACCAACAAGGUGGUAUCAGAGCCCUUAUUCUUAAGGGACUUGUAACGUGAUUAGAGAGGCUUCCUACACUUCAAUAUGGCAGGAAAUGGUUUCUUAUCUGCUCCUCCAGUUUUCACAGGUGAAAAUUAUCAAAUAUGGGCUGUGAAAAUGGAAUCUUACUUGGAUGCAUGUGACCUAUGGGACUUGGUGGAAGCAGAUCCAGAGGAUCCACCAUUAGCUCAUAUGAGGAAUAACAGGGAUGAAAGAAAAUGGAGAUAUAAGGCCAAGACAUGCAUUCACUCUGCAGUUUCGGAGACAAUUUUUACAAAGAUCAUGACUUGUGAAACAACGAAACAGGCAUGGGAUCUUUUGAAACAAGAAUAUCAGGGGAACGUCAGGACAAAACAAAUGCAGGUCCUGAACCUGAGAAGGGAAUUUGAAAUGUAGAAAAUGAAGGAGACAUAAACAGUUAAUGACUAUAAAGACAAGUUGAUGAUGAUUGCCAAUAAAAUUAGAAUGCUUGGGGAAGAGUUUUCUGAUAGAAGGAUUGUAGAGAAGAUUUUGGUGACCUUGCCUCAGAGAUUUGAAUCUAAAAUCUCUUCACUUGAAGAGUCCAGAGAUAUGUCAACAAAGGAGAGCUUACAGAAAGGAGGAGAUAGUUGAAGGAGCAUUUCAAGUGAAAGAGGCUGAUCAAGCUCAGGGAGGCAGCAAAGAAAAGAAACAGUGGAGUAAGAAGAUUUACAAGAAGGGGGAAAGUAGCAUCAAUGAAGGCAACAAGGGCAAGCACUCCCCGUGUCCUCACUAUAAGAAAACCUCUCAUCCGCAAAAGAAAUGUUGGUUUAGGCCUGACAUUCAAUGCAGGGCAUGCAAGCAAAUUGGGCAUAUGGAGAGGGUGUGUAAAAACAAACAGCAAGAAGGACAUCAAGCUCAAGCAGCAGAACAACAACAGGAUGAACAACUUUUUGUUGUAUCUUGUUUUUCGAGUAACAGUUCGAGUGAUGAUUGGCUCAUCGACAGCGGAUGCACAAAUCACAUGUCUUUUGAUGAAUCUCUUUUCAAAGAAGUAAACAAGUCAGAAGUGUCAAGAGUUAAAGUUGGCAAUGGGCAGUAUAUUGAAGUGAAAGGUAAAAGGACAGUUGCAAUAAAAAGCUCAGCAGGUAUCAAGUUAAUUUCUGAUGUAUUACUUGUUCAUAAAAUUGAUCAAAAUCUACUGAGUGUGGGACAAUUGCUUGAGAAAGGUUAUUCUGUUGAAUUUAAGAAUAACAUGUGUGUCAUUACUGACCCAAAUGGUGUAGUGUUGUUCUCUGUGAAAAUGAAUAGCAAAAGCUUCAGCUUAAGUUGGAACAAGGAUGAAUGUAGUGCAUAUCAAUGUACUUUGAACCAGGCUGAGUUAUGGCACAAGCGGAUGGGGCAUUUUCAUUAUUCUGCAUUAGAUUACAUGCAGAAAAAUGAUCUUGUGCAAGGAAUGACUUUCAAUGGAGGAGGAGCAUCAGUGUGUAGAGUCUGUCAGCUGGGAAAACAAGCUAGAUUGCUAUUCCCUGUUAAUAAGGCAUGGAGAGCAGUUGAGAAGCUUCAGUUAAUCCACACAGAUGUUUGUGGACCUAUGAGGACUGCAUCCUUAAAUGGUAAUAGGUACUUCAUGGUUCUUAUUGAUGAUUUUAAUAGAAUGUGUUGGAUUUACUUUCUCAAACAAAAAUCUGAAGUUGCUAGUGUAUUUUGGAAGUUUAAAAAAUGGAUUGAAAAUCAAAGUGGUUGUAAAAUCAAGGUGAUUAGAUCUGAUAAUGGGACUGAAUAUACAGCUGAUAAAUUUGCUAAGUUUUGUGAAGCUGCAGGGAUUGAACAUCAGCUUACAACAACCUAUACACCUCAACAAAAUGGAGUCAGUGAGAGGAAAAACAUGACAGUCAUGGAGAUGGCUAGAUGUUUGUUGUUUGAGAAGGAAAUGCCAAAAAUGUUUUGGGCUGAGGAUGUUAAUACUGCUGUAUUUCUGCAAAACAAGUUACCAACAAAGGCUUUAAAGGGAAAAACACCUUUUGAAGCUUGGUUUGGUUUUAAACCCUCUAUUCAUAACUUGAGAAUUUUUGGUUGCAUGUGUUUUACUCAUGUUCCAGAUGCAAAAAGAGAGAAGUUGGAUCAAAAGGCAGAAUAUGGAGUUUUUGUAGGAUACAACACUCUCACCAAAGGUUAUAGAGUUUAUCAACCUUUGACGGGAAGAAUCAUAGUGAGUAGAGAUGUUAAAUUUGAUGAAACUGGAGGAUGGAAUUGGGCAACAGCUGAACCAAAGCAAGUUUAUGCAGAAGAAAAAACAUCAGAAUUGCAAGAUGAUGAUAUAAUUGAUGAUGAACCAAUAAGAGGUACCAGACCACUUAUAGAAAUUUAUCAAAAGUGCAAUAUGGUUGUGCUUGAACCUGCAGGUUAUAAUGAGGCUGCUAAAGAUCCAAAGUGGCUUGAACCAAUGGAAGAUGAGAUCAAGAUGAUUCACAAGAAUCAAACUUGGGAGUUGGUGGACAGACCACUACACAAGAAAACUAUUGGUGUGAAAUGGGUUUAUAGAACCAAACUCAAUGCUGAUGGUUCUGUAAACAAAUUCAAAACAAGGCUAGUUGUAAAAGGGUAUGCUCAACUAUUUGGUGUUGACUUUUCUGAAACGUUUGCACCUGUAGCAUGGCUGGACACCAUCAGAUUGCUUUUAGCACUUGCAGCACAAAAGCAGUGGAAAAUCUACCAGCUUGAUGUUAAAUCAGCUUUUUUAAAUGGCUAUUUGGAUGAAGAAAUCUUUGUUGAGCAACCUGAGGGUUUUGUUGCAGAUCUGAAGAAAGUAUAUUUGUUAAAAAAAGGCAUUAUAUGGCUUGAAGCAGGCUCCAAGAGCUUGGUACAGCAGGAUUGAUGAUCAUUUGCUGAACAUAGGCUUCAACAAGAGCAUGAGUGAAUCAACUUUGUAUAUUCAAGUAAUUAAUCAUGAAUUGAUUGUUGUUUCACUUUAUGUUGAUGAUUUUCUUGUCACAGGAAGCAAUGAAGAAUUAGUGAAGCAAUUUAAGGUUCAAAUGAUGCAAGCAUUUGAAAUGACUGAUCUAGGAGAGAUGACUUUCUUUUUAGGUCUGGAGAUUCAAAAGUCACAGCAAGGGAUCUUCAUUGGACAGCAAAAAUAUGCUAAAGAAGUGCCAAAGAAAUUCAACAUGGAGGAUUGCAAGUCAGUAUGUACUCCUUUAGCUCAAAAUGAGAAAUUUAGUAAAGAUGAUGGUGCUGAAAAGAUUGACGAAGCAUUAUAUAGGAGUAUUAUAAGUUGCUUGAUGUAUUUGACAGCAACAAGACCUGAUAUAAUGUUUGAUGUAAGUUUGCUGUCCAGAUAUAUGCAUUGUGCAAGUGAAUUGCACUACAAAGCUGCUAAAAGGGUGCUCAGGUAUAUCAAGGGAACUUUGGAUCAUGGAAUAAAAUUUGAGAAGGAAGACAAGCUGAUUUUGCAUGGUUUUGCUGAUAGUGAUUGGGCAGGAUCCUGUGAUGAUAUGAGGAGCACGUCAGGCUACUUGUUUAGUCUUGGUUCAAGUUGUUUCUGUUGGAGUUCAAAGAAGCAGGAAAUCGUAGCUCAGUCUACUGCUGAGGCUGAGUAUGUUGCAGCUGCUGCUGCAGUCAAUCAAGCCUUAUGGCUAAGGAAGCUUAUGACAGAUUUGAAAAUGAUUCAGGAUUAUGCAACUGAAAUCUUUGUUGAUAAUCAAGCUGCCAUAGCAAUUUCUAACAAUCCAGUGUUCCAUGGGAAGACAAAGCAUUUCAAAAUUAAAGUAUUAUUUUGUUAGAGAAGUCCAGAAGAAUGAUGAAGUAAGGCUCGUGUAUUGCAAGACUGAAGAUCAGCUAGCUGACAUUUUGACAAAGGGACUGUCAAAGUCAAGAUUUGAGUUGUUGAAGAAAAGAAUUGGUGUCUGCAGCAAAAAUAGCAAGGAGGAGUGAUGACAAUGCUAUAUUUGCUGCAGGACUUGAGUAAAAAUAAAAAUAGCAAGAUUUGAUUAUGCUGUCAAUAAAAUCCUGCAAGAUUGUAGGAAAAAAAUUUGUUUUUGAAUUUUAUGAUAUCAUAUAUAUGUUAAAGAUAUGUAGGCAGAUUUUUUGACUUUGUUUGUUUCUUUUCAUGUAUAAAUUCAAAUACUGCAACAAUGAAUAAAAUACUGCAAUUAACAGCCUCAAUUUCUUUGUGUUCUCUUUUCUUUGUUUAAAACCAACAAAUUGUCAUCGAGGGAACGAAAAAAUGGUGGGAAGAGCUACAAUGGGAGGAUCAAGCCACCCAAAAUGCUUUCUUUUCCUGUGCCGUACUUUGGGAGGAUCCUUAUUAUUAAUAUGUUUGAAUAUGUAUUUCCUUUUUCUUUUUUUUCUUGCUAUAGAGUUGCAUGAUUGUGAUGAUCCUUAUUAUUAUUAUCCUUUUUUUUUUUCACAUGAAGUUCAGUAACUACUUCCGAGAUUAAUAAGAUCCAACUCGUUUUUGGUUUAGUCAAAAACUUUUUGUGGCUCUAAAUCCUUUUUAACACCAGGCCAGGCAUCCACAAAUAUAUUGACACCAUUUUAUUUAUUGAUGUUUAUAUAACUGAAUUGAUUACAAAUUACCCUUUUUGUCCAGUGUGUUCAGAAUAUACUCUGCACAACUAACACAAAAAUAAACAUGUAACAUACUAAUCGUUUAUGUUAAUUUAUGGAGGCCUUAUUGUCCAAGGCAUAUGUAAAACCAUUUCACAUUCGGCAUUGUAAUGUUUAUGGACGGAUUUAAAUGAUGUCACACAAAGUCACAAAUAGUUAAAAAAAAGAAGGUGUUUGUUUUAAAAUGUUGGCAUAUUUAUGGAGUGGGAACUCAGAUGCUGAACUCUGAAUGGGCUGGAAUCGGAAUGGGUUAGAAUCGGAAUGAGCCGGAAUGAGAAUGGGGAAUGAGAGUCAAAAUAAGUUGUUUAUUUGAACUGUAGGAAUCGAAAUCGGAAUGAGUUAGAACCCCAUUAAUGUGUUUACUUUAUCUAAGAAUCGAAAUCGGAAUAAGUUAAGUUGUUUUAAGUUACUAAAACACCCUUAGUUGUUAAUAAUAAUAAUAAUAGUUGUCCUUUGGUAUUAAUGAUAAUAAUAAUAAAUUUAAUAAUAACAUUAUAAAUAAAUAAAUAAUAGUAAUAAUUAAUGAUAAUAAUGAAAUUAAAUAACAACUACUAAUACUACAAUAAUAAUAAUAAUAAUAAUAAUAAUAAUAAUAAUAAUAAUAAUAAUAAUAAUAAUAAUAAUAAUAAUAAUAAUAAUAAUAAUAAUAACAACAACAACAACAACAUUAAUAACAAAUAAGCAAACAAUGAAAUAAUACAAACACCAAUCUACAUAAUUUUAAUGUACAAUAAGUGGCCGAACAAUAUAAGAAAUUAAUAAUUUAAAAUAUAAAAUUAUAAUUCCCAAAACAAACAUUGUGCUCCUCUUCACCGGAUGUAGCAGAUCGCGACGAAAAAUGGCGGCAGGAUGAGCGCGACCACGGUGGCAACAGAUCGAUCGGGACCACGGCGGCAGAUCGUGACGAACGAAAGCAGCAGAUCGCAGCCUUUUGACACCCCCUCGAAGACCCUCCUUUAAAUUCCUUAUAACUCUUUAAUUAAAAUUAUUUAAAUAAUUAAAGAUAAAUUAAUUCCAUUUUAUUUUGAUGGAAAAUUUAAUUAAUACUUAAAUAAAAUUAUUCUUUUAACAUUUUUCCACCCACCUCAUUUCAUAUAUAUAUAUAUAUAUAUAUAAUUUUUAGAAACUUUUAAUAAUUUAUAAUCUUUUUAAGGUGAAAUUUAAUGAGAAGAUUAUUAAUUUUAAUUUAUGGAUUAGUAUUUUAUAAAUUAAACCAAGGUACUUUGAUAAAUAAAAAUUAAAACAAGUUUUAUAAGGAUUUUGGAGUGUACGAAUUCAGAAUAUAGAUUUUCAUGGGGACGUUGAAUAUGCUGAAGCUGAAGCUAUGAAUUUUAGAAUAAAAAUGGCAAUAGACUUUGGUUUAAUGCCAUUAAUUGUUGAAUCAGACUCGAAUACUAUUUUAAACUUGGCGAAAGGUUUUGAAAGAAGUAUGAAAGAAAUAUCAUGGUUAAUUUUCGAGAUUCGAAAUUGUAUGGUUGUGAAAGACCACUUCGAAAUCAAUCUUACAUAGAGAAGUAGUAGUGAGACCACUCAUAAAUUAGAUAAAUAUGAUGUUAACAAUUCAGGCUGUGUAAUUUGGUUGGAGGAAAUUUCAACUCAUGUAAGUCUUUUUCCUUUAAGCGAUUAAUUGAAGUUUUCCAUUUCCAAAGAGAGAUAGAGAGAGAGAGAGAGCUCAACUCAAAUGAAAGUACGAAACAAAGAGUAAAUCCUGAUAGUAGAAAAAUGAGCCAUGAGUAGAACUAUUCGCACCUUUGAAAGCCCUCAUAAAAAUCUUUCUUCAAUAUGUCCCGCUAAAUCAUUUAAAAAAUAAUAUUAUUUCUAAGGGCAGAGCUAUUUGCACUCUAAAAAUUAUUCUCAACGUUUUAUUACUAUAUACACAUAUUUAUUAAUUUAAAAAAAUGAACUAUAUUUUGUACAACUAUGAUGCCACUUCCACCUCCAAUUGAAUGUCAGAAAAUUCAAAGUUUGUCAAAAGAGGAUGGUAAAUUAAGCCCCCUUUUUUUUUUAAUCUGGAUUUGGUUGAACAUUUUUAUGUCGCAAAAAUGUUUGCUGUGUUGUAAUGCCUAAGUGUUGCAGACUAGUUUGUAAGAGUCUGAAUAAUUGUCCAUGUUACUCUGGUAUUGUGGAAUGCCAUGUAUUUUUUGGCCAAAAGAAAAAAUCAAGCAACCAAUGUAAACUUGUUUAAUAUCAUCAUAAUAUAACUGAAAAAGAAGUAAUUAUAGUCAUACAAAAAAAAUUAAUAAUUGUCAUGUCCUUAAUAAUAAUUUAUAUCAUAAAUAUUAUUGAAAUAAUUUUUUUUUAUAAAAUUAUCAGUGUUUAGUGUAAUUUUUAGAGUGUAUAUAGCCUCAUUCUAUUUCUAAACCCACAUAAGUUGAUUCCAAAAACACCCUUGGCUUACACACCAACCCCAUUUUCACAUUUUCUUCGUCUUGGGGAGCUUGAAACCCAAAUCUGAUGGCUUCAACUUUCGAAUAAUCAUUAUCUCCAUUAGAACUUAUAAUUUUAAAAGCUAUUUCCAUAAUAUUUUCAUUAGAAUUUCUUAUAACAACAUCCAACAUUGGUUAUUGAUAUUUUAAGGUUUCAUCUUAAAUAAUAAUAACAAAAUAAUUAAAAUUUUAUCAAAAUUUAAGGAAAUACAUUGUACUUUGAUAAACAAGGAAUGUCAACUAAAUAUCGUCAAAAUAAAUAAUAAAUUUUUAAGUCGAGUUUUGGUUUCACAUAAUUGUAAUUAUGGAGACUAGUUAUUCGAAUAAAAUUUAAUUUCUUCUGUUUAUCAUUGUAACUUUACAUAGGGACAAUUGCAUGAUUAUAAAGGCAGGGUUUGAUAAGGAUUUUUUGGAGGUACCAAUAGGACCACUCAUGAGCCAUGACAAAAUUAAGCCCAUGCGAGGCCCACCUAAUCCAUUUUUACAUUUAGCCAAUUAGCCUGAAGAAUAAGACGAUAAUAAACAGUAAGCCUAAAUAAUAAGAUGAUAUGAAAGUAAGAAUAAGGUUAAGAUACCAAUUUUUUAGUCUUAACUUCUUAAGUCUUAAGUCUUAAUGUAACAUGUCAUUCAUUUAUUAGACGAUAAAUUUCAUAACUUGUAAAAUUAUUUAACCACCAUCCAAUAAAUGAUUGUCAUAUCUAUUGAAAUUUAAAUUUAAAUUUUAGAAUACUUAGCAUUGAGCUGAAUCUAAACGAUUUUAUUUUCUAUUAUUUUUAUUUUAUUUUAAUUUUUUUUCACAAUCGGAUUUUUCUUUGAGACAAUAGAAAGCCUUUUGGCUUUAAGUUUCUGAAAACCAAUAAUAAAAAAUUAUCCAUGAGUUUCUGAAAACCAAUUAACUUCAAAAUCUCUUCCAGCGCUAGGAGGAACAUCUUCAAUAACUUUUUCAUGACCUUUUGGGUAAUAAAUCCCAGUUCUUUCAUGAGGAACCCAGCUACAAUUCCCUUCAUUUUCUCCCACAUUAUUAUUCAUCUGCUGGCUCCUCAUCACAUUUCCUUCUUCCGCAUUGGAUUUCAAUGCUGUUUCUCUUAUCAUAUCAUUAGAACUUGCUUUCUUUUGAAAGGAUUUCCUCAUUAUUGGCCUAUAUGUUUCAAAAAGACUUAACAAAUUAAUAAUGUAAAAACAAAGACUAAAAUAUUCAAACACUCAAAUGAAUGAAAGUAAUCUCUUUUUAUUAUUGCGUGGACAGUGGCGAAAUCAGGAUUUUGGAUGUCAUCAAUAAUAGAGAAACAACAAAUUUUAAGUAGGUUAUAACACAAGAAUAUAAACAUAUGGGGGCUACAAAAUAAAAUUAUCAGACAUAAGGAUAAAUUUAAUUGAAGACUUUCAUAUUUCUUGAUAAUGUUUUUUAACCUGAGUCCCCUGUGGAGACAUAUUGAUUCAGUUAAUAAAACAUUUAAUUCUAUGUACUUAACCAACCACUCAUAAUUAGUAAUUACAUAAUUUGAAACUAUUAGGCCUAUUUCGAACGAACUGUUUCAUAACAAAAUUAAUUUAGAUAAAGUGAAAAGAUUUAUUUACAAACAUACCAUGCAAUAAUGAAGUGCGAUUGUCAAAAUGAAAUGAUGAAAUAGCAAAGUAGAUAGAUAAAAACAUGGAGUUAAAGGUGGGAGCUCCUCUAGCAAAUGAUCCUGUCAUCUUUUUCUUCUUUUUUCUCUCACUUUCUCUCUUUCCAAACAAUGUGGGUGGAAUGAAUUGAAUUAUGAUUUAGAUAGAGAGCUCUUUACAUAGUGAAGUUAAAUAAGAGAAUAUUGUUAUCUAUUUCUCUCAUCUCUAGGGAGAUCGUUUAUUGUACGUCAUUUUCUGUUUGGAUAAAUAUUAAAUUAUAACACUCUUUCUUGAUCAUUGGGGAGCACUCAUUGCAGAGCAUGGCCUUCUUUUGUUCCCUUUUGUUUUGUUUUUGUUUUUUAGUCAUCUAAGUUAUGGGACAUGGCUUGUGGACUCAGCUUUUAGAAACUUUCCCUAGAUAAGUAGUUGAAUCUAGGGGAGGUACUUUUUAGUUUUAUAAGUGACAUUGAUUCACCUCAUGAUUAGUGGCCAGAGAGAAUAAUUACGAAAAAAAAAUUUUAAUUGUUAAUUAAUUUUGUUGAAUAUAUUAAAAUAGCCAAGUUAAAUUUAUAAAAAUAGUUUCAUAAACUCUUAAAUCCAUAAAAUUUUAAUUUUGAGGAUUACAAAAACCACACUUUAACAGAUAUACAAAAAGAUUGUAAAGAUAUAAGAUGAGUCGUUAAUAAUUGCACGUGCAAACAUCGUAUAUUCUUUAUAAUUAAUUGUGCAGAUUUUCAUGACCAAUGCACCAGAUUUUGAUGACCAAUGCACCUGGGUGCGAAAACAAAAAUUAGAACAAAAUAUAUUAAUAAGGGAAGGCCACUCUUUUGUCAAUAUAUAUAUAUAUAUAUAUAUAUAUAUAUAUAUAUAUAUAUAUAGAGUUUGUUAUAAAAGAUUACCUCAGUAUCAAACUCUCCCGAUUCAACAUUGACAUUGAUGACAGUGAAAAUCUUUACAAGAUCCACCAAUAAUCCAGGUCGAUCAGCCGUCUCCACCAAAAGCAAACUUCAAUAAAACAAAAGGUAAACUAAACAAAAAUAGUAAGGACCAAAUUAUCUGACUACUUCAGUUAUGGGCAGGAAUUGCCACUUGGGCUGGAGUAUGAGUAGUAAUAAUGUGGGACCAAAGUUUGGUGGAUAGCAAAAGCCCCAUCAUCUAGAUAAGAGAAUGAAUUAUGCAUUGCCUUCGGUUGGGGCCAUCAUCAUAGAUGCUUAUGUGGGUUGCUAUGUCCACAUCAACCUGACAAAUUCCAGCACAACAAGAUUUGAGACAAGAUUGAAGUGGGACGUUAUCCUUCCCAUAAUAACUCAUAUACGUAGUUUUUAACAUUCACAACAUGAUAUUAAUUUCAAUGGCAGGCAAAUUGAAUAUAAUGUCUUUAAAGAAAAUGAGGAUAAAAGUGAAGUAAUAUUUGGCCUAAGAGAACUCUAAAACAACUUAGUUUCCUAUUCAAAUGAUCACUAGUGAGAAGAGCCAAAAAUAUCAAUAAUCUGAAAAAUCAAAAUAAGACCAGAAAGCAAAAACCUGUUGUUUUGGAGGAUCAACGCCAAAGGCAACACCCAUUGCCAACUGGGAACUUGAUUCCUGAUUCCAUCACCAACACAAAUGGAAUAAGCUUUUGAAUAAGACAAUUCCUACAGGUGCUCCACCAAGUGAUAUCUCAAGAGAGACAAAAAAAAAUGAUUACCGGGUGAUACUGAAGUAGAUUGUUUAUAACUGUCAAACAAAUUGCCUCAAGCACCUCAGGAUCAUCAACUUUCCUACCAGUAUCACCGCACACAAGCAUCAUGACCAAAUUAAUCAAAACCACAGUGGGAAUCUAUUGCAAGAACUGCUCCAAAAAACACCGAUGGCUCUUUGGAUCAUUGAUUUUAGGUUCUAGUAUGUCCAAAAUUUUAACGAUUUCAACAUUAGUGAUAAACAUCUAUUUGCAACAGACUGAUCAUACUUGUAUAUGGAGCAUCACAAGUAGGUAUUUACUAUGCUCAUCAAAUAUAGACCAGAAGACGUUGACAACAAUUAAAGGGUAUUAGUGAAUGAAACUGCAAGCAGAGAAUACAAAUCAGCUCAGUAAUGCAAGGGCAUGAAAAGCAAAAUGCAUAUGCAUCACAAAAUUAUAGAGAUAUAUAAUUUCGCAGUCAUAUGAUGAUAUUGCAGCGGUGAAGCCGUGCGUGAGGUUAAGGCAAGCGAUGGAAUGACUUGCGUUACAAAAGAGGUAUUUGCAAUGAUUGUGUACUGGACGGAAAUUGAAUCCAUGUUUAAGAAUUUACCGCCGGGGAAAAAAUGUCAAUACAAAGUCAAUGCGAACGAAUAGUGAAGUCAGCAGUCGCAAAGGCAAAGUUCUUAACCAGAUGGACUCCAGAUAGAUUAGCGGUGGCAGUUUCACAGCUGACAGAUGAACAAAGAAUGGCUGCUUGUCAAAUGGGCUUUGGUAGUUUUCUACAACUGAACCGUGGCAAGCUAAAAAGGAAACUUUGUGGCUAGUUAAUUGAGAUGAUUGAUACUUUGAGGUACAUUUUAGAGUUGAAUGGUAUUAGCUUUCGAACAAGAUCAUCAAAGAAACUCCACCAACCAGGAAAUUUAGACUUAAUCUAUGCUCUGCAAAUUCAUAUACUCUCUAAUAUGAAACUACUUUUAUGUGUUUUGUUAUUCCGACUUGGUAACGUUGUUAUGGAAGCCUGACAACUAUUAUGUCCGUGCAAUUUUUAUUGUAUCUUUUGUUAUGUCAUGAUAUCGAAGCUUGGUUUUCUGACUCCAACUACUAAGAACUGCAGUUGCAGCAUCUUUUGAAUAUUACAUAUGUGCUUGUAGUGUCUCCACGGAUUAAAAUCUGCUAUUUAAGUUCUUCUACCGCCCCCGCUUCUUCUUUCAUUUAUACUUGCUGCACCAUUUACUUCACACUCUGUAAAGCCAUAUGAAAGCUUGUUCAUUUAUGUUCACUUGCAAUUCAAAAGCAGUGUUUAUUUCAACUGUCAAAUUGACUACUUGCACGUAUUGAUUUCAGUCGAAACAAGGUUAUUGGUCGAUCCAGAAAUUGAAUCCAUAUGGCCAUUCCAGCAUCAUUCAACCACCUAAUUUCAAAUAUAUAAAUUAAUUCAACCCACUUAAGUGAUCAAAGGCGUGGAACAAAUCAUGAAAGAUUUUUCAGCUAUCAUAAAUUCGAACGGAUGUAGUUUGUAUUCUUUCAGGCUUAGACAGAUUUUUUGCAACAUAAACUUGUAUGUAAUGUACAUUUUUUUGUUCCUUACAAAUUAAUUGCUGCUAAAAUAAUUGUUUCGACCAAUAUUUAUUGUUAUAAUAGAGAAACCUUUUCUUGCAACUCAAACAGUUCCGAUGGCAUGAUCUGCAUCCCCUGUUUGCCUCUUGGGCUGCACGAUCUUGCUCCUUUUCAUCAAACGGCAACUUCGCUGCAGACAAAAAGAGGGGGUACAGUGCGCAGGGGCACCGUAGAUGUAGCCCAAAAAGAUGAUUUUGUCCCUCCAUGUCUAAGUAUUUUAACCAAAAAAUAAUAAUAAUUCCUUACAUCAUCAAUGAUUGCACUUGUAAAUCUAAGGGAUUAGAAUUCUGUAUUGAAUUUAUAUUUUAUUAAAUAAAAAAUUAAUGUUAAUUUUUUUUUUUUUUUAUCUAGCUAUCAUUGACUUUAUAUUUUGGAUCUUCAUCCAGAAUUAAGGCACAAAAUUUUUGUUCUAAAUAAAUAUUCUCAAUAUAAAUUUAUCACUUAAAUAAUAAUGAUAAGAUUUAAUAUUAAUUCUAUCAUUACUGAAAUGGAUUACAAAUUUUAUAUGACUUGUAAACGUAUCAUUAUGUUCUUGAUAUUUGAAACAUGAAUCAAGCAACAUAUGUAGCAUAUUUUUAUUUCAGUGUCGUGCUUCUCUAAAAAUUGUUGAAAGCAGAAGCCAAGCUGGCAUGCCUCCUGAGCUGGUGUGGUAGGUGAGUUGGAUUUGUUGAGCUGGCAAAUGAAAUUAUUUAUGAUGAUGCUGUGAAUUUAAUUGUCGUAUAAUGUUUGUGUAGAAUUAAGAAUGGAAGACAAUGUCGAUGAUGACAAGAAGAAUAGCAGCGCAUGUGAAUUGAAUAGUUGCAUCUUCUAGAAGCUUAAUGUGAUUGGUUCACAAUUGAAUUGAAUAGUUGCAUCUGCUAAUGAAGAAUAGCAGCGCAUGUGAAUUGAAUAGUUGCAUCUUCUAGAAGUUUGUCUCUGUAUGCAAACUAGCAAAGCUCUGUAUUUCAUUUUCAUUCAAGUCAUCAUAAUCAAUAAAGGCCUGAUUCUCAUACUCUGUUUGCAUUUGAAAGCAAUUCUUAAGAAUUUAAGUAAAAUGACCCUCACCAAAUUAGCUUAAUUCUUUUCAUUGUACCCAUUGCUUCACUUCCUCUUUUCGUCAACGACAAUGGGUAACUUAAUCUCAACCUUCUUACCAGCAGACUUAUUCGAUCGAACUUCAAACUGCGUUGGUGAACAAGCAAAAUAUGUAUGGGGUCUCGAAAAAAAUCUUCGGGUCUUGGAGACUGAAUUGCACAAAUUGACUCGAGCAAGGGACGAUCUGAAGACCAAGGUUGAGGUCGAAGAACAACGACCUCGAACCAGACGAACGAACCAGGUCGCAGGGUGGCUUGAAGAUGUGCAAAAACUGGAAACUGAAUUUACCGAGCUGGAACGAGUUAGAGCUCAAGAAAUGGAUAGAUUGUGCCUUGGAGGCCUCUGUUCCAAAAACUUCGUUUCAAGCUACAAUUACGGGACUCAGGUGGUCGAGUUGACGGAUCGAGUGAUCAAUUUAAAGAAAGACGGAGAAACAAUUGAAGUCGUUGUUGAGAAGGCGCCGGAUGGUGCAGCAAUUGAAUUACCUGUUGAUCACACGGUUGUUGGUCAAGAACGAUUACUUGAUCAAGUUUGGAGAUGUAUCACUGAUGAGGAAAAGAACAGGGGAAUUAUCGGCUUGUAUGGUAUAGGGGGAGUCGGCAAAACUACCCUUUUAAAACAAGUCAACAACAACUUCUGCCAUCAACGGCAUAUUUUUGAUGUUGUUAUCUGGGCGGCUGUGUCAACACUUCAAGAUGACAUUGGAAAAAGGAUUGGCUUUUCAGAAGCCAAGUACUGGAAGGAAAAAAGUCUUCAAGCUAAGGCUGUGGACAUCGCUGGCAUUUUAUGCCGAAAGAAGUUUGUGUUGUUAUUGGAUGAUAUAGGGGAACGGAUUGAUUUAACACAAUUGGGUGUCCCUCUUCAAAAACUAAAAGAUGGGUCCAAAGUAGUCUUGACAACUCGUUCAGCUGGUGUUUGCGAUCAAAUGGACGCUGAAAAGGUGGAAGUGUAUAGUUUGGCGCAUGAUAAAGCCUGGGAAUUAUUUCAGGAGAUGGUCGAAAGAUCCACUCUUGACAGUCAUACCAGUAUUCCAGAGCUAGCCGAAGCCUUGGCAAGAGAGUGUGGUGGGUUGCCGCUAGCGCUUAAAACAGUGGGUCGAGCCAUGAAAAGCCAAAGGAGAGUUGGAGAUUGGAAACGUGCAAUUAACAAAAUGAGAACAUCAGCUUCUAAAUUCUCAGGUAUGAAAGAAGAGGUGUUUUCGCGUUUAAAGUUCAGCUAUGAUAGUUUGUCUACGGAUGAACUUCGUUCCUGUCUCCUGUAUUGUUGUUUAUACCCUGAAGACUACAAAAUUCCUAAAAGGGAAUUGAUUGAUUAUUGGAUUAGUGAAGAAUUUGUGUGUGAUUUUGAUGGUGGAUGCGAUUUUAUUGAUGACCUUCUUCAUGCAUGCUUAUUGGAGGAAGAAGGCGAUGAUCAUGUAAAGAUGCACGAUAUGAUUCGUGAGAUGUCAUUAUGGAUAGCGUGCACGGUAGACAAGGAGGAGCAGAACUUUCUGGUUCGCGCUGGAGUUGAAUUGACCGAAGCACCAAAGUUUGAAGAAUGGCAAGGUGCCAAACGGGUAUCUCUGAUGGGAAAUGGAAUUAGGAGCUCAUCGGAAAUUCCCACGUGUCCGCGCCUCGUAACUUUACUUCUUUCAAUCGAUGUCUUCUCUUAGAGUAUUAAGUCUAAGAGGAAAUUUUCCCCUAAGAACACUACCUUCAGGGAUUUCAGGUUUGGUUUCAUUACAUCAUCUUGAUCUAUCAUCGACUAACAUAACUGGGUUGCCGCAAGAGCUGAAGGCGUUGGAGAAGUUGAGAUAUUUGAACUUGGACUAUACACGGUUUUUGUCUAUAAUUCCACAUCAAUUGAUAUCUGGUUUUUCAAAGUUGGAGGUACUCAGGUUGCUUUCACGCGGUCGCUGGAGCGUAAUAGAAGGUAACGUUCUAUGUGAUGAUGCUGAACCUUUGAUGAAGGAAUUGCUGGGUUUGAAGCAUUUAAAUGUUUUAAGCUGGACCUUCCGAAGUUCACUUGCUGUCCAAAAGUUUUUGAAAUAUCCAAAGCUGGUGAGCAUCACUCAAUCUGUAAUGGUUUGCCAAUGUGAAAGUCCACCGUUCAAUGUCUUACAUCUAGCAUACAUGGAGAAUCUUCAGGAGUUACGCAUUUCAGACAGUAAUUUGGAAGAGAUGAAGACUGACAGCACAGAAGAGGUAAAGAAACUUUUUCAAAGUGGUUUCCGCAGUCUCGACAGAGUUGUCAUAUGGAGUUGCCAAAAAAUGAAAGACUUAACGUGGCUAGUUUUUGUUCAAAUUCUCAAGCAGCUGCGUAUAGUCUUUUGUACAGAAAUGGAAGAAAUAAUUAGUGUUGAUAAAUUGAGAGAUAUUUCGAAGAUAAUCGGGUCAGAGCAUAACUUUUUUGCACAACUCGAAUCUCUAACCAUAAAGUGGGGAAGAAAUUUAAAGAGCGUUUACCCGAAUCCCCUGCCCUUUCCAAAGCUGAAGAAAAUUGAAGUACGUGAAUGCCCACAGCUGAAGAAGCUCCCACUCAAUUCCAGCAGCGCGAAGGAACGUCGAGUUGUCAUCGAGGGGUCGAAAAAAUGGUGGGAAGAGCUACAAUGGGAGGACCAAGCCACCCAAAAUGCUUUCUCUUCCGGUGUCGUACUUGGGGAUGAUUUUCAUUAAUAUGUUUGAAUAUGUAUUUCUUUUCUUUUUCUUUUUUUUUUUAAUUUUCAUUAGAUUUAAUUGCAUCUUGUUGUUGUUGUCUGGUGUGUCAAUCGUUAUCUAUUUUCAGUUAAUAAAAUUUCAGCAGUGGAUUCUUGGUUUUAGAAUCCUCCCACUGGAAAGAAUUUCUCCUUUGGCUUGAAUGCGACCUUUUUACUCGUCGACAAAAUUGUAUUUGUCGCUUAAGUCUUGUUUGUUUUAAAAUGCUGGCAUAUUUAUAGAGUGGGAACUCAGAUGCUGAACUCAUAGUAAAUAUUUAUUUAAUUUGUUAUAAUUAUAUUUGGUGAGAUAUUUAUUCAAUAAUUGCCCUAUCACUUUGUGCAUGAUCACAGAAUUUUGUACUUCCGUCUGUGAAAUAACUUUUGGAAAAGGAAAUUAAUUUUUUUAAGUAACGGUAAAUAUUUUAAAUUUUUAUUUUAAAUUUUAUUUUAAAUAAUAUAGUAUGUAAUGUGUCAUUUAUUUAGUGAUUGAUAAUUUAAUAUAGGAUUUAAAUAAAUUAAUUAUGCUAUUUUAUUAUUUAAUUAAUAAAUAUUAUAUAAUUUAAAAUAGAUUUUUGAGAUAAAAAUUAUAAAAGUAAAAUUCUACUCAACAGACUAAAUUUAAAAUGAUGUGAUUGGCAGGUAAGACUUAAGAAUUAGACAAAAUUUCUCAUUCAACAGCUUGUAGAAAAUUUAUACACUAGGCCUUAGCUAAACUUGGACUUGUCGUAUGUUUGAAGUAUUCGACGAUAAUCAUAUCUGCAUUUUUAUUUUAUUUUUUAUUUUUGGUUUGUUUAGGGCUUUUCAUCGGUUUUCGUCUUGGUCUUUGUCCUGGUCUUGGCGUCUUGCUAUCAAAUCAAGUGUUCUCUUCUCCUAUCCUCUAAUGAAAGUGCAGGGCCUCAACUAUUUGUUACUGCUAUCACUUUAGAGGUUGAUGCUAAUGUCCGAAGGUCACGUUUAAUUUGCUUGAAUGUGACCUUUACUUUGGUUGACAAAAUUGUGAUUGUCACAAAGAACAAACUAUAAAAGUGCAGUUUAAAUCGAACACUGAAUUCCCUAUGGAAAUUUUCGCACCCGUAUAUAUAUUCUACAUUAUUUGGUUGCAAAGACUAUAAUUAACAAGAAGCUAAUAUAUAUAGUAGAGAGAGAAAUAACAAGUUCAAUGUUGGUAAAAUUUUAUCUUCCCUUCACUGCUCUCCUUUGCUGCAAUCAAGUGGCCUCACUUACAAAUUUUGACUUUUAAUUAUUUCAAUUAACACAAGAAAAAAAGGGCAAUAUAGUUUACAUUACUCUAUCAGCCUUAUAUAAAGGGUAUAAAUAUGAGAGUGCGUUUGGAAUUGAAGUCGGACACUUGUCGCUUAAAAGCUACAGUAGCAAAGUGUUUGGUAAAUACUAAUUGUUGUGUCUUGAAAGAUAUGUUGAUAUGAUUUUUCACUUGUAUAAUAGAGAAUUUAUUAUUUUAUUAUUAAUAAUUUCGUUAAAAUUAUUAUUUAAAAUUUAUAUUUAUUAAAUAUUAUUAACUUUUGUUUUAUAGUUACAAUUUUUUUUUUUUACAGCAACUGUACCUUAAAAGUUAUAACACUUCAAUUCCAAACGUACCUUAAGUCUGUAAGGCAUAAGUUUUCACUCUUCGGGAAUCUAAGGAGAUUAGGGCAAGAGCUGCACAUUUGUAGUCUCAAAUUCAUUUGACAUCAGCCAAUUUAAUGUCUAUGGACGGGUAUAAAGGACGUCACAGACGGUUAAAGAACAAGGUGUUUGAUGGAAAUGUCAAGAAGUUCGAUGAAAUGUCUCACCUACACAACCAAGCCACUUAACAUUGCAGUCUUAUAAUACAAUUCCUACCUUCUCUUCCAUUUUCACCAACAUAAUUCUUUCUUUCUCACUUUAUUUUCUUCCUUGAAAUUUUUGUUAACAAAAAUGGGUAACAUCAUUCUCAUGCGUGCUUCUUAUCACCAGACUCAAUUCUUGCAGUUUUAUUUUAUUUUAUUUUUCCUUCGUGGAGAUGCUAAAAUAUAUAUGAGAUCUAAAAAGCUAAUCUUGAUGAGUUGCAGAAUCCAAUGCAGAAUUUGAAAGUUACAAAAGAUUAUAAAUACUAUUUUAACUUGUAAGCUUCCAUUGCUAUACAGUGAGGUAUGUCUAGAUAUCAUUUUGGUCUUUUAUAUAUUGGGUUCCAGUGAAAGACUUUUGUUCUAGUUGAAUUUAAUUUUGUCUUUGUAUUUACAGACAAAAUAUUAGGGACAUUUAUCAUACAUAUUUGGCUAGUUCGCCGUGGAAAAAUAAUAAUAGUUGAAAAGACAUAGGGUACUUUUUAUUUUCCUUUAUAUUACUAAUAGAUUUCCCACGCGCAACAGACGAAGUCAUUGCUGCUUCAAUAAUUGCCCUAUCACUGUGUUCAUCAUCACAAAUUUCUUUAUUACGUUUGUGAAAUAACCAUUGCAUAAAAAAAUUACUCCAACUUUUUAACUAAUAAUAGAUAUCUCAAAUUUUAUUUUCAGAAUAUGGUAUGUAAUGUAAGCGAUCGAUAGUUCUUUAUAAAAUAUAUAAAUAAAUUAAUAGUGUUAUCUUAGUGUCUAAUAUAUAUAAAUGACUUUCUCCAUAUAUUGCACUAUUGAUAUGGGCUAAAGUUUUAUACUAUGAGACCCAAUUUCUAUAAUUUACACUAUAAGUUAAAAGUAUUUAGAAAAAUACUAUUGCAAAUCAAAAGGUAUUAUCUAUUUUAUACCUAAAGCAUUUUCACUAUUUAAGACUAGUAAAAUUUCUAUAUUAUUAUAAUAUUAGAAUCAAACACCAAUAAGCGAGUAAAUCAGGUGGAAUAAGAAUGUUCUAACUUAACCAAGGUCCUCGGUUUGAAACUUAGAAAUGCAACUACAUUAAAUACUUAUUGGGAGAGAUUUGCCGCUUUAGUGGUUCUAUCCGGCUCGAAUCUAGAUUAGUCGGGGAUCUAAUGUGGUCUUUGGAUACUAGAUGAUUUAAUAUACCGAUAAUAUUGGAACCAAACUCAUUUACAAUUAUGAAGAGGUUAUAAUUUAAUAGAGGCAUAGUAACAAACUAUUAAUAGAGAGUAUAAAAUUUAAUGUAUAAACAAAAUUCUAUAAUUUACACUAUAAGUUGCAAGUAUUUAGGUCAAUACUAUUGCAAAUCAGAAGAUAUUAUAUAUUUUAUGCCGAAAAUAUUUCCACUAUUUAAGGCUAGUAAAACUUCUAUAUAAUUAUAAUAUUGGAACCAAACACCAACAAGCGAGUAAAUCAACUAGAAUGGAAAUGUUCUAACGUCAAGGUCCUCGGUUCAAAACUUAGAAAUGCAACUACAUUAAAUAUUUAUUGGGAGAGAUUUGCCGCUCUAGUAGUUCUAUCCGGGUCGAAUCUGGAUUAGUCGGGAAUCUAAUGUGGUCUUUGGAUACUAGAUGAUUUAAUGUACCAAUAAUAUUGGAACCAAACUAAUUUACAAUUAUGAGGAGGUUAUAAUUUAAUAGAGGCGUAGUAACAAACUAUUAAUAGAGCGUAUCAAAUUUAAUAUUGGAAUCCGAUGAUUGGUUGCAACAUAAGAUAUUUGUAAGCUUAGUUAAAGGUUCAUUAAAAAUUAUAGAGAUAUAUAAUUUCGCAGUCGACGAAGCCAUGCAUGAGGUUAAGGCAAGUGAUGGAAUGACUUGCGUUACAAAAGAGGUAUGUGAAGUUGCACUAUAAAAAUAAAAUAAAUUUGUAUUUUCAAGUAGUGAAGGUGUAGUUAGUUUAUUUGCGGUAGCAGUUUCACAGCUGACAGAUGAACAAAGAGUGGCUGCUUGUCAAAUGGGCUUUGGUAGUUUGCUACAAUUGAACCGUGGCAAGCUAAAAAGGAAACUUUGUGGCUAGUUAAUUGAGAUGAUUGAUACUUUGAGGUACAUUUUAGAGUUGAAUGGUAUUAGCUUUCAAACAAGAUCAUCAAAGAAACUCUACCAACUAGGAAAUUUAAACUUAAUCUAUGCUCCGCAAAUUCGAAUAUUCUCUAAUAUGAAACUACUUUUAUGUGUUUUAUUAUUCCUAGCUUUUACCGACUUGGUAACGUUGUUAUGGAAGCACGACAACUAUUAUGUCCGUGUAAUUUUUAUUGUAUCUUUUGUUAUGUCAUGAUAUCGAAGCUUAGUUUUAUGACUCUAACUACUAAGAACUGCAAUUGCAGCAUCUUUUGAAUAUUACAUAUGUGCUUGUAGUAUCUCGACGGAUUAAAACCUGCUAUUUAAGUUCUUCUACCCCUCCCCCCCUUCAUUCUUUCAUUUAUACUUGCUGCACUAUUUACUUCGCACUCUGUAAAGCCAGAUGAAAGCUUGUUCAUUUAUGUUCACUUGCAAUUCAAAAGCACAGUUUAUUUCAACUGUCAAAUUGACAACUUGCACGUAUAGAUUUCAGUCGAAACAAGGUUAUUGGUCGAUCAAGAAAUUGAAUCCAUAUGGCCGUUCCAGCGUUAUUCAACUACCUAAUAUCAAAUAUAUAAAUUAAUUCAACCCACUUCUGUGUCAAAGGCAUGGAACAAAUUAUGAAAGAUUUUUCAGCUAUCAUAAAUUCGAACGAGUGUAGUUUGUAUCCUUUCGAACUUAGACAGAUUUUCCUUCCAUUAACCUUACAGUGUUAGUAAUCCUAUUACUUGUUUUUAAAGCUUGAAUAGUAUACCGAAAUUUUUGGUUUUUGCAACAUAAACUUGUAUGUAAUGUACAUUUUAUAGUUCUUUACAAAUUAAUUGCUGCUAAAAUAAUUGUUUCGACUACUAUAUUUAUUGUUAUAAUAGAUAAACAUUUUCUUGCAACUCAAACAGUUCCAAUGGCAUGAUCUGCAUCCCCCGUUUGCCUCUUGGGCUACGAACCUGCUUAACAGCUGCACCAUCUUGCUCCUUUUCAUCAAACGGCAACUUCGCUGCAGACAAAAAGAGGGGGUACACUGCCCAGGGGCACCAUAAACGCAGCCCAAAAAGAUGAUUUUGUCUUUCCAUGUCUUAGUAUUUUAACCAAAAAUAAUAAUAAUAAUUCUUUACAUCAUCAAUGAUUGCACUUGUAAGCCAGGCAAUAGUUUUUUUAUUAAAUAAAAAAUUAAUGUUAAAUUUUUUUUUUUUUUUUUUUUUUUUUAUCUAGCUAUCAUUGACUUAAUAUUUUGAAUCUUCAUCCAAAGUUAAGGCACAAAACUUUUAUUCUAAAUAAAUAUUCUCAAUAUAAAUUUAUCACUUAAAUAAUAAAUAAUAAGAUUUAACAUUAAUUCUGUCGUUACUGAAAUGAAUUGUAAAUUUUAUAUGACGUGUAAACGUAUCAUUAUGUUCUUGAUAUUUGACAUAUGAAUUAUAAAGCAACAAAUGUAUCAUAUUUUAUUUCGGUAUUGUGCUUCUCCAUAUUUGCUUAAUUCUUUUCGUUGUACUCAUUGCUUCUCUUCCUCUUUUCGUCAACGACAAUGGGUAACCUAAUCUCAACCUUCUUACCAGCAGACUUAUUUGAUCGAAUUUCAAACUGCGUUGGUGAACAAGCAAAAUAUGUAUGGGGUCUCGAAAAAAAUCUUCGGAUCUUGGAGACUGAAUUGCACAAAUUGACUCGAGCAAGGGCCGAUCUGAAGACCAGGGUUGAGGUCGAACAACAACGACCUCGAACCAGACGAACGAACCAGGUCGCAGGGUGGCUUGAAGAUGUGCAAAAUCUGGAAACUGAAUUUGCCGAGCUGGAACGAGUCAGAGCUCAAGAAAUGGAUAGAUUGUGCCUUGGAGGCCUCUGUUCCAAAAACUUCGUUUUAAGCUACAAUUACGGGACUAAGGUGGUCGAGUUGACGGAUCGAGUGAUCAAUUUAAAGAAAGACGGAGAAAAAAUUGAAGUCGUUGUUGAGAAGGCGCCGGAUGGUGCAGCAAUUGAAUUACCUCUUGAUCACACAGUUGUUGGUCAAGAACUAUUACUUGGUCAAGUUUGGAGAUGUAUCACUGAUCAGGAAAAGAACAGGGGAAUUAUCGGCUUGUAUGGUAUAGGGGGAGUCGGCAAAACUACCCUUUUAAAACAAGUCAACAACAACUUCUGCCAUCAACAGCAUAAUUUUGAUGUUGUUAUCUGGGCGGCUGUGUCAACACUUCAAGAUGACAUUGGAAAAAGGAUUGGCUUUUCAGAAGACAGAAACUGGAAGGAAAAAAGUCUUCAAGACAAGGCUGUGGACAUCGCUAGCAUUCUAAGCGGAAAGAAGUUUGUGUUGUUAUUAGAUGAUAUAUGGGAGCCCAUUGAUUUAACACAGCUGGGUGUCCCUCUUCAAAAUCUAAAUGAUGGGUCCAAAAUAGUCUUGACAACUCGUUCAGCUGGGGUUUGCGAUCAAAUGGACGCUGAAAAGGUGGAAGUGUCUAGUUUGGCACAUGAUGAAGCCUGGAAAUUAUUUCAGGAGAUGAUCGAAAGAUCCACUCUUGACAGUCAUACCAGUAUUCCAGGGCUAGCCGAAACCCUGGCAAGAGAGUGUGGUGGGUUGCCGCUAGCGCUUAAAACAGUGGGUCGAGCCAUGAAAAGCCAAAGGAAAGUUGGAGAUUGGAAACGUGCAAUUCACAAAAUGACAACAUCAGCUUCUAAAUUCUCAGGUAUGAAAGAAGAGGUGUUUUCGCGUUUAAAGUUCAGCUAUGAUAGUUUGUCUACGGAUGAACUUCGUUCCUGUCUCCUGUAUUGCUGUUUGUAUCCUGAAGACUACGAAAUUCCUAAAAGGCAAUUGAUUGAUUAUUGGAUUAGUGAAGGAUUUGCGUGUGAUUUUGAUGAUGGAUGCGAUUUUAUUGAUGACCUUCUUCAUGCAUGCUUAUUGGAGGAAGAAGGCGAUGAUCAUGUAAAGACGCACGAUAUGAUUCGUGAGAUGUCAUUAUGGAUAGCGUGCACGGUAGACAAGGAGGAGCAGAACUUUCUGGUUCGCGCUGGAGUUGAAUUGACCGAAGCACCAAAGGUUGAAGAAUGGGAAGGUGCCAAACGGGUAUCUCUGAUGGAAAAUAAAAUUGAAAGCCUAUCGGAAAUUCCCACGUGUCCGCGUCUCGUAACUUUACUGCUGGAUGAAAAUCGGAUUGAGGAGAUCACUGAUGGCUUCUUUCAAUCUAUGUCGUCUCUUAGAGUAUUAAGUCUAAGAGGAAAUUUUCCCCUAAGUACACUACCUUCGGGGAUUUCAGGUUUGGUUUCAUUGCAUCAUCUUGAUCUAUCAUCGACUCACAUAACUGGGUUGCCGCAAGAGCUGAAGGCGUUGGAGAAGUUGAGAUAUUUGAACUUGGACUAUACAGAGUACUUGUCCAUAAUUCCACAUCAAUUGAUAUCUGGCUUUUCAAAGUUGGAGGAACUCAGGUUGUUUGCGUCCGGUCGCUGGGGCGUAAUAGAGGAAGAAGAAGGUAACGUUCUAUGUGAUGAUGCUGAACCUUUGAUGAAGGAAUUGCUGGGUUUGAAGCAUUUAAAUGUUUUAAGCUGGUCCUUCCGAAGUUCACUUGCUGUCCAAAAGUUUUUGAAAUAUCCAAAGCUGGUUAGCAUCACUCAAUCUGUAUGGGUUGAAUGUGGCAUGUAUACAAGGCCACCGUUCAAUGUCUUACAUCUAGCAUAUAUGGAGAAUCUUCAGGAGUUGCGUCUUUCUCAGAGUGAUUUGGAGGAGAUGAAGAUUGACAGCACAGAAGAGGUGAAGAAGCUUUUUCAAAGUGGUUUCCGCAGUCUCGACACAGUUGAUCUAUUUUAUUGCCAAAAAGCGAAGGACUUAACGUGGCUUGUUUUUGUUCAAAACCUCAAGGAGCUGCGUAUAGUGUAUUGUGAAUACGUGGAAGAAAUUAUCGGGGCUGAUAAAUUGAGAGAUAUUUCAGAGAUAGUGGGGUCAGAGCAUAACGUUUUCGCAGAACUCGAAUUUCUAUCCUUAUGGGGGGGAAUAAAUUUAAAGAGCGUUUACCCGAAUCCCCUGCCCUUUCCAAAGUUGAAGAAAAUUCAAGUACUUCAUUGCCGACAGCUGAAGAAGCUCCCACUCAAUUCCAGCAGCGCGAAGUUACGUCGAGCUGUCAUCGAGGGAACGAAAAAGUGGUGGGAAGAGCUACAAUGGGAGGAUCAAGCCACCCAAAAUGCUUUCUCUUCCGGUGCCGUACUUACUGAGUUUCCUUUUUAUUAAUAUGUUUUAAUAUGUAUUUCUUUUUCUUUUCUUUUUUUAAUUUUCAUUAGAUUUAAUUGCAUCUUGUUCUUGUUGUCUGGUGUGUCAAUCGUUCCCUACUUUCAGUUAAUAAAAUUUCAGCAGUGGAUUCUUGGUUUAUUAAUGUUUAUAUAACUGAAUUGUUCAGCAGAUGUACUCUGCACGACUAACACAGAAAUAAACACAGAAAUAAAUAUAUGUAAGGGGUUACAGGACUGACUCUGCUUCUGGCUUCUAAGGAGAAAGAGGGGAAAAUAAACAUUUUAUCUUCCCUUAACUGCUCUCCUUUGGUUUGAAUGUGAACUUAACACUCUUUUAUUAUUAAAAUUUAAUUAUUUGGUUGUAUAAUAUAUUUCUCCAAUAAACGAAGAAUGAUAAAGGAGCAACUAAAAAAACCCAUCAAAAUAUUUCACCAAUGAAAAGAUUCAUGAGAAAUAAACAUUAUAAUCCGAACAAAUAAAUCAAUUAGUCAAUAUAUCAUUUAGCCGAAUUAAAGACGCUGCUUGCGCUUCGUAGUUCUGAGCUUAGAAUCAAGUAGAGAACUGAAUAUGAAAUUUUUAAUUGCUGAGAAUAUGAAUUUGAGGUUGAUGGACGACUUGAAAGAGAGGGACAAGAAAGAAUGAUACAGAGCAGGUGGCUGGCAAAAGGGACCUUAUGACGAUCUUCUUCAGUACAGCUAUGAUGCCGCUUCCACCUUCAAUUGAAUGUCAGAAAAUUCAAAGUUUGUCAAAAGAGGAUGGUAAAUUAAGCUGUUUUUUUUUUUUCUUUUUUGCAAAAUUUACCAAGUGAAUUAAUCCAUUAUUUUAUCUAUCAAUCAGUACACAAUCUACAUUACCCCACGCUAACAAAACACUGACUAUAAAUCUAUGACUAUACAAUGCGCACUUUGGUUACUGCCCCAGCCCUCUUACCCAAAAGAACCACAAAAGCAACGAAAAACUAAAUUGAUUACAUAAUCAAAUCAAGUUCUUCUUAGCUACUGUGAUCGAUUUGUCCAGCACCAUCAGUUAAUUUCUCUAGUUUUCAGCAAAAAUGGUCGAGUUCUUGAGUCUUCUUUGCACGUUUCAUCUCAUUUAUUCUGUCGAUAAAGCUUAUACACAUCAUCCGCAACGACAACAAAUUAAAUUAAUAUGUGUCGAGUUUUGGAGCCAGAGCCAGCGGUGCAAGCGCAAGAGAAAGGGACUUCACACAAGAAUUUGCCAGACCAUGGGCUACAGAAAGGUGCCUCACUUCACGGACGCGGAAUUUGGUUGGCUCCUGGGCCAUUAAGGGUGAAUGCAUCUUUCUUUUUAUGUGAAUUUAAUUAUUGAACCCGGUAUCUUGAAUAAAUAUAAAUUUGACUGUAGCACCAAGUAUCAAUGAUUGCAAAAUGUAAAUUUGACAUAUUGUGUGGUUAAAUCAUCUUGUACUAAUCGUUUAUGUUAAUUUAUGGAGGCCUUAAUGUCCAAGGCAUACGUAAAGGGGUACAGGACUGACUCUGCUUCUGGCUUCUAAGGAGAAUGAGGGGAAAAUUUUAUAAACAUUUGUGGAGUGGCCGUAUAAAGGACGUGUGGUUCUCAAUCCAUUUCACAUUUGGCAUUGUAAUGUUUAUGGACUCAUAUAAAUGAUGUCACACAAAUAGUUAAACGAAGAAGGUGUUUGAUGAAAACGAAAGGGCCUUUUUCUUUUUUUAAAUCCCGCUAAAGGUUAUAAUUAACAACAAAUUAAUAAUAGAAGAGAGAGAAAUACCAAGUUCAAUACGGUAAUAUUUUAUCUUCCUUUUAACUGCUCUCCUUUGGCUUAUAAUGCGACCUUUACACUCGUGGACAAAAUUGUAUUUGUCGCUUAAGUCUUGCUUGUUUUAAAAUGCUGGCAUAUUUAUGGAGUGGGAACCCAGAUGCUGAACUCAUAGUAAAUAUUUAUUUAAUUUGUUAGAAUUAUUUUUGGUGGGAUAAUUUUAAAUAUUAAUUUAACAAGAUAGUGAUGUUUGCCUUGCCCUACAUGGAAAAAAUAAUAAUAAUUAAAGUUUUUUCUGUUCCUUUAUAUUAGUAAUAGAUUUCAGAUGGGAAACAGAAAAUUUAUUUCUGUUUCAAUAAUUACCAUAUCACUGUGUGCGUGCGUGAUCACAUAAUUUUGUACUACCGUCUGUGGAAUAACUUUAGGAAAAGAAAAUUAAUUUUUUUUAAGUAACAAUAAAUAUUUUAAAUUGUUUUCUUCUCUUAUCAAUUGUUUUUUUCUCCUAUCUUCCAAUGAAAGUGCAGGACCUCAAUUAUUUUAAUAGAGAUGUAGUAAUAAAUUAUUAGGGGAUCCAUAAAAUAAAUAUACAUGGUUUCAAAAAAGUUAGCACAUGCUUGUUACAAAUAUAAAAAAUUAUCUUAAAAGUCUCGGAACUUUUGUGUUCUCUUUAAUAUUUUUUUCUUAUGUUGUUAUUGUACUAUAUGGAUACAAGGGUGCGUUUGGUACGUUGUAUUAUAUUAUGUUGUAUUGCAUUAUUUUAAUAUAGGUAUAUUACAUUAUGUUGUGUUGUAUUAGUAAUGUAUUAUAAUAAUGUUGUACAAUGUUUGGUACUAUACUGUAUUGUAUUAAUUUUUAAUUAAUAUUAUUCAAAUGUAUUCAUAUUUAAAUAUUUAUUAUUAGUUAUAUUAAAUUAUUUAAAAAUAACUAGUUUAAUUAUUUUAAUAUAAUUAAAUAAUAUUAUAAUAUAUUAUAUUAUUUAAGUAUUUAUUAUUAGUUAUAUUAACUUAUUAAAAAUUAAUCAAUUAUAUAUAUUAAUUAAUAUAAUUUUACAUAUUAAUUAAUAUAAUAUAAUUAAAUAAUACAUUUUUUAGUUGUACAUUUACUAUAAUAAAAAUUAAAAUAUAAUAUAAUAUUAAAUUAAAAAUUAUAUUCAUUUAUUAUUAUUACAAAGUAUAAAAAAAAAAAAAAAAGGAAGCUAAAGCUAAUGCGGUAACUGGACACAUUAGCUAAACCCGACUAUAACAUAUGUCGGGUUUAGCUAAUACAACCAUUUGGUACCUCAGACAUGGUGCUGCAUUGCUAAUGCAAUGUAAUCCCAGGUAAAGAGGGGUACCAGACAACCCCCAAGUUCACUUAAUGUAACAUAACAUACUUUUUUUUUCUAUAUAUAUAUAUACACUACGUGGAAGUGAGCUCCUUAAGGUGAGAUUUAGCAAAAUUAUAAAUUAUUACAGCAUGAAAUUUAUUUUUAUUUAUAAUUGGCCUAAUAUAAAUUAGGACCAGUACUUUUAUAGCUAUAUGAAAUUAUUUUUAUAUAAAAUAUCACUACAUAAAUGUUUUAUUACAAUAUUAAUCUCUUUUUUUUAUUGUAUUUAUCUCUUCAUAAUCUUUUCCUUUUUAUAAAAAAAAAAAAUCAACUAAAAGAUUCAUCAACAUCUCAUUCCAACAAUCUACUAGCGAAAAUGAGUGUCCAUGCUUUUGAACCAAGGCCCGAUAUGUGAGGGAGAGAUUGUUGGGUUGUCUUACAUCGGUUGUGAACUAGGAUGGUGGUGAUUUUACAAGUGUGAGGGAAAGUCUCACCCCUUAUCCAUCUUUUGGGUUGGGAUUGAAUGAGACCCAAAACCGCUUAACAUGAAUUCUAUCACUGGGAUUUUUACCCAGUAUAACAAACAUAACAACACAAUGAAUUAUCAAUUUAUCACGUAAUGGCUCUAACUUUAGCGAUGAUCACCUUACAUGAACAUGAAAAUUAAUCCCAUUGUUUAACUCAACAAUGACGAUAAUCACUUAAACUCUUAUGCACCAAAGGAUAUACUCGCUACAGGGAAUCUUAACUCAUAAAGAUUAAUUUUAGUGGGGGGCAAAAGAGCACGAGUGAUCCAAACCACUAAACAACAUCAUAACCAACACAAAAUUUAUACUAAACAAACCAUUACCAAAACAGCAAAGCUAGACAUAAAUUUGAACAGAUACACAAGCUACAUUCAUUACCAUAAUGUAUCGACUAAAUUUCCAAGCUCUACAUUUUGAACAAAGAAUUUAUAAAAUUACAUAAUCUAAUAAAUUAAUAUAGAAAUAAAAUUGGCAUCAGAUCAAAUUACUAUUAAUGUACCUUGCAUAAACCAUUCUCUUCUAUCGGCAUUCACCUCCGCGCUCGAUUGGCUCUCCUGUGCUGCUUGUCUAAUUGAUUCAAAUCCACAUAGACAAAUUUAAGCAUAUUAAGUUUUCAAACUCAAAUCAACAGCUUUAAAAGUUACUUCACAAACAAUGAAUUUCAUUUUCGAAAUACAAAGAAUCCGUUCAGUUUAAAACAAUAAAAAAUCGUCUACGACUACUCAACUCAUGUAUGAUAACUAAAAAACGAAGGAUACCCACAAAAAUUAAAGAUAAAUUACCAAAAACCCAAAAAACUCAAGCCAAAAUUGCCAAAAAAAAAGCGAGAGAAUGGAAAUUGGCGUACCAGGGGCAGGAGAGAGGAAACGAGAAGAGGAAGAAAGAAGGGUUUUGGAGAGAGUGGGAAUUAGUGGAGGCAAAAAUGGAGAGUUUUGAGAGUGAGAUGAUUGGUGGGGUGGUGAUGGCGGUGGUGGGGUUAAUGUUCUGGAGGGUAUGCUGAAGAGAGGUCGCAAGAGAACCUCCAUAGCCUUUAAAGAGAGUUGAGUUGCUGCUUUCUUUUGCCGUGGAUGGAGAGAGAUUAAGGGAUUAGAAUUCUGUAUUGAAUUAAUUUUUUAUUAAAUAAAAAAUUAUUGUUAAAAUUUAUUUUAUUUUAAUUUUUUAUCUAGCUAUCAUUGACUUAAUAUUUUGAAUCUUUAUCCAAAGUUAAGGCACAAAAUUUUUAUUCUAAAUAAAUAUUCUCAAUAUAAAUAUAUCACUUAAAUAAUAAUGAUAAGAUUUAAUAUUAAUUCUGUCAUUACUGAAAGAAUUACAAAUUUUAUAUGACGUGCAAACGUAUCAUUAUAUUCUUGAUAUUUGAAACAUGAAUAAAGCAACAAAUGUAUCAUAUUUUUAUUUUGGUGUUGUGGUUCUCUAAAAAUUGUUGAAAGCAGCAGCUGUGAAGAGUCAACGGUUGACCUUGAUUCUGUGAGUUGGAUUUGUUGAGCUGGCAAAACUGUUAUGUUGAAGAAUAGCAGCGCAUGUGCAUUGAAUAGUUGCAUCUUCUAGAAGCUUAAUGUGAUUGGUUCACAAUUGCUAUAUUCACGGAUCAAUUUUGAUUACUUCCGUGUAAUACCCCUUAGGCUAGCUGUCAUUAUUUUUUGUCUCUGUAUGUAAACUAGCAAAGCUCUGUAUUUCAUUUUCAUUCAAGUCAUCAUUAUCAAUAAAGACCUGAUUCUCAUACUCUGUUUGCAUUUGACAGCAAUUCUUAAGAAUUUAAGUAAAAAUUAGCUUAAUUCUUUUCAUUGUACUCGUUGCUUCUCUUCCUCUUUUCGCCAACGACAAUGGGUAACCUAAUCUCAACCUUCUUACCAGCAGACUUAUUUGAUCGAACUUCAAACUGCGUUGGUGAACAAGCAAAUUAUGUAUGGGGUCUCGAAAAAAACCUUCGGGUCUUGGAGACUGAAUUGCACAAAUUGACUCGAGCAAGGGACGAUCUGAAGACCAAGGUUGAGGUCGAAGAACAGCGACGUCGAACCAGACGAACGAACCAGGUCGCAGGGUGGCUUGAAGAUGUGCAAAAACUGGAAACUGAAUUUACCGAGCUGGAACGAGUUAGAGCUCAUGAAAUCGAUAGAUUGUGCCUUGGAGGCCUCUGUUCCAAAAACUUCGUUUCAAGCUACAAUUACGGGACUCAGGUGGUCGAGUUGACGGAUCGAGUGAUCAAUUUAAAGAAAGACGGAGAAAAAAUUGAAGUCGUUGUUGAGAAGGCGCCAGAUGGUGCAGCAAUUGAAUUACCUCUUGAUCACACAGUUGUUGGUCAAGAACUAUUACUUGAUCAAGUUUGGAGAUGUAUCACUGAUCAGGAAAAUAAUAGGGAAAUUAUCGGCCUGUAUGGUAUCGGGGGAGCCGGCAAAACUACCCUUUUAAAACAAGUCAACAACAACUUCUGCCAUCAACAGCAUAAUUUUGAUGUUGUUAUCUGGGCGGCUGCGUCAACACUUCAAGAUGACAUUGGAAAAAGGAUUGGCUUUUCAGAAGACCAAAGCUGGGAGAAAAAAAGUCCUCAAGACAAGGCUGUGGACAUCGCUAGCAUUUUAAGCAGAAGGAAGUUUGUGUUGUUAUUGGAUGAUAUAUGGAAACCCAUUCAUUUAACAGAAUUGGGUGUCCCUCUUCAAAAACUAAAUGAUGGGUCCAAAGUAGUCUUGACAACUCGUUCAGCUGGUGUUUGCGAUCAAAUGGACGCUGAAAAGGUGGAAGUGUAUAGUUUGGCGCAUGAUAAAGCCUGGGAAUUAUUUCAGGAGAUGGUCGACAGAUCCACUCUUGACAGUCAUACCGGUAUUCCAGAGCUAGCCGAAACCUUGGCAAGAGAGUGUGGUGGGUUGCCGCUAGCGCUUAAAACAGUGGGUCGAGCCAUGAAAAGCCAAAGGAAAGUUGGAGAUUGGAAACGUGCAAUUCACAAAAUGAGAACAUCAGCUUCUAAAUUCUCAGGUAUGAAAGAAGAGGUGUUUUCGCGUUUAAAGUUCAGCUAUGAUAGUUUGUCUACGGAUGAACUUCGUUCCUGUCUCCUGUAUUGUUGUUUAUAUCCUGAAGACUACGAAAUUCCUAAAAGGGAAUUGAUUGAUUAUUGGAUUAGUGAAGGAUUUGUAUAUGAUUUUGAUGAUGGAUGUGAUUUUAUUGAUGACCUUCUUCAAGCAUGCUUAUUGGAGGAAGAAGGCGAUGAUCAUGUAAAGAUGCACGAUAUGAUUCGUGAGAUGUCAUUAUGGAUAGCGUGCACGGUAGACAAGGAGGAGGAGAACUUUCUGGUUCGCGCUGGAGUUGAAUUGACCGAAGCACCAAAGUUUGAAGAAUGGGAAGGUGCCAAACGGGUAUCUCUGAUGGGAAAUGGAAUUAGGAGCUUAUCGGAAAUUCCCACGUGUCCGCGCCUCUUAACUUUACUUCUGGGUGGAAAUCGGAUUGAGGAGAUUACUGAUGGCUUCUUUCAAUCGAUGUCUUCUCUUAGAGUAUUAAGUCUAAGAGGAAAUUUUCCCCUAAGAACACUACCUUCAGGGAUUUCAGGUUUGGUUUCAUUACAUCAUCUUGAUCUAUCAUCGACUAACAUAACUGGGUUGCCGCAAGAGCUGAAGGCGUUGGAGAAGUUGAGAUAUUUGAACUUGGACUAUACACGGUUUUUGUCUAUAAUUCCACAUCAAUUGAUAUCUGGUUUUUCAAAGUUGGAGGUACUCAGGUUGCUUUCACGCGGUCGCUGGAGCGUAAUAGAAGGUAACGUUCUAUGUGAUGAUGCUGAACCUUUGAUGAAGGAAUUGCUGGGUUUGAAGCAUUUAAAUGUUUUAAGCUGGACCUUCCGAAGUUCACUUGCUGUCCAAAAGUUUUUGAAAUAUCCAAAGCUGGUGAGCAUCACUCAAUCUGUAAUGGUUUGCCAAUGUGAAAGUCCACCGUUCAAUGUCUUACAUCUAGCAUACAUGGAGAAUCUUCAGGAGUUACGCAUUUCAGACAGUAAUUUGGAAGAGAUGAAGACUGACAGCACAGAAGAGGUAAAGAAACUUUUUCAAAGUGGUUUCCGCAGUCUCGACAGAGUUGUCAUAUGGAGUUGCCAAAAAAUGAAAGACUUAACGUGGCUAGUUUUUGUUCAAAUUCUCAAGCAGCUGCGUAUAGUCUUUUGUACAGAAAUGGAAGAAAUAAUUAGUGUUGAUAAAUUGAGAGAUAUUUCGAAGAUAAUCGGGUCAGAGCAUAACUUUUUUGCACAACUCGAAUCUCUAACCAUAAAGUGGGGAAGAAAUUUAAAGAGCGUUUACCCGAAUCCCCUGCCCUUUCCAAAGCUGAAGAAAAUUGAAGUACGUGAAUGCCCACAGCUGAAGAAGCUCCCACUCAAUUCCAGCAGCGCGAAGGAACGUCGAGUUGUCAUCGAGGGGUCGAAAAAAUGGUGGGAAGAGCUACAAUGGGAGGACCAAGCCACCCAAAAUGCUUUCUCUUCCGGUGUCGUACUUGGGGAUGAUUUUCAUUAAUAUGUUUGAAUAUGUAUUUCUUUUCUUUUUCUUUUUUUUUUUAAUUUUCAUUAGAUUUAAUUGCAUCUUGUUGUUGUUGUCUGGUGUGUCAAUCGUUAUCUAUUUUCAGUUAAUAAAAUUUCAGCAGUGGAUUCUUGGUUUUAGAAUCCUCCCACUGGAAAGAAUUUCUCCUUUGGCUUGAAUGCGACCUUUUUACUCGUCGACAAAAUUGUAUUUGUCGCUUAAGUCUUGUUUGUUUUAAAAUGCUGGCAUAUUUAUAGAGUGGGAACUCAGAUGCUGAACUCAUAGUAAAUAUUUAUUUAAUUUGUUAUAAUUAUAUUUGGUGAGAUAUUUAUUCAAUAAUUGCCCUAUCACUUUGUGCAUGAUCACAGAAUUUUGUACUUCCGUCUGUGAAAUAACUUUUGGAAAAGGAAAUUAAUUUUUUUAAGUAACGGUAAAUAUUUUAAAUUUUUAUUUUAAAUUUUAUUUUAAAUAAUAUAGUAUGUAAUGUGUCAUUUAUUUAGUGAUUGAUAAUUUAAUAUAGGAUUUAAAUAAAUUAAUUAUGCUAUUUUAUUAUUUAAUUAAUAAAUAUUAUAUAAUUUAAAAUAGAUUUUUGAGAUAAAAAUUAUAAAAGUAAAAUUCUACUCAACAGACUAAAUUUAAAAUGAUGUGAUUGGCAGGUAAGACUUAAGAAUUAGACAAAAUUUCUCAUUCAACAGCUUGUAGAAAAUUUAUACACUAGGCCUUAGCUAAACUUGGACUUGUCGUAUGUUUGAAGUAUUCGACGAUAAUCAUAUCUGCAUUUUGUGAAAUAAUUAAGAUUUUUUAUUUUUGGUUUGUUUAGGGCUUUUCAUCGGUCUUCGUCUUGGUCUUUGUCCUGGUCUUGGCGUCUUGCUAUCAAAUCAAGUGUUCUCUUCUCCCAUCCUCUAAUGAAAGUGCAGGGCCUCAAUUAUUUGUGCUGAGCUGUUUGUUACUGCUAUCACUUUAGAGGUUGAUGCUAAUGUCCAAAGGUCACAUUUAAUUUGCUUGAAUGCGACCUUUAUUUUGGUUGACAAAGAUUAUUUGGUUGCAAAGAUUAUAAUUAACAACAAGCUAAUAUCUAUAUAGUAGAGAGAGAAAUAACAAAUUCAAUGUUGGUAAAAUUUUAUCUUCCCUUCACUGCUCUCCUUUGCUGCAAUCAAGCUACAGUUGUAAAGUGUUUGAUAAACACUAAUUGUUGUGUCUUGAAAGAUAUGUUGAUAUAAUUUUUCACUUGUAUAAUAGAGAAUCUAUUAUGUUAUUAUUAAUAAUUUCGUCAAAAUUAUUAUUUAAAAUUUUAUAUUUAAUAAAUAUUAUUAACUUUUGUUUUAUAGUUACAAUUUUUUUUUUUUUUACAACAACUGUUGCUUAAAAAUUAUAACACUUCAAUUCCAAACAUACCUUAAGUCUAUAAGGCAUAAGUUUUCACUCUUCAGAAAGGUGUUUGAUGGAAAUGUAAAGAAGUUCGAUGAAAUGUCUCACCUACACAACCAAGCCACUUAACAUUGCAGUCUUAUAAUACGAAUUCCUGCCUUCUCUUCCAUUUUCACAAACAUAAUUCUUUCUUUCUCACUUUAUUUUCUUCCUUGAAAUUUUUGUUAACAAAAAUGGGUAACAUCAUUCUCAUGCGUGCUUCUUAUCACCAGACUCAAUUCUUGCAGUUUUAUUUUAUUUUAUUUUAUUUUUCCUUCGUGGAGAUGCUAAAAUAUAUAUGAGAUCUAAAAAGCUAAUCUUGAUGAGUUGCAGAAUCCAAUGCAGAAUUUGAAAGUUACAAAAGAUUAUAAAUACUAUUUUAACUUGUAAGCUUCCAUUGCUAUACAGUGAGGUAUGUCUAGAUAUCAUUUUGGUCUUUUAUAUAUUGGGUUCCAGUGAAAGACUUUUGUUCUAGUUGAAUUUAAUUUUGUCUUUGUAUUUACAGACAAACUAUUAGGGACAUUUAUCAUACAUAUUUGGCUAGUUCGCCGUGGAAAAAUAAUAAUAGUUGAAAAGACAUAGGGUACUUUUUAUUUUCCUUUAUAUUACUAAUAGAUUUCCCACGCGCAACAGACGAAGUCAUUGCUGCUUCAAUAAUUGCCCUAUCACUGUGUUCAUCAUCACAAAUUUCUUUAUUACGUUUGUGAAAUAACCUUAGCAUAACAAAAUUACUCCUCCUUUUUAACUAAUAAUAGAUAUCUCAAAUUUUAUUUUCAGAAUAUGGUAUGUAAUGUAAGUGAUUGAUAGUUCUUUAUAAAAUAUAUAAAUAAAUUAAUAGUGUUUUCUUAGUGUCUAAUAUAUAUAAAUCACUUGCUCCAUAUAUUGCACUAUUGAUAUGGGCUAAAGUUUUAUACUAUGAGACCCAAUUUCUAUAAUUUACACUAUAAGUUACAAGUAUUUAGGAAAAUACUAUUGCAAAUCAGAAGGUAUUAUCUAUUUUAUACCUAAAGCAUUUCACUAUUUAAGACUAGUAAAACUUCUAUAUUAUUAUAAUAUUUGAAUCAAACACCAAUAAGCGAGUAAAUCAGGUGGAAUGAGAAUGUUCUAACUUAACCAAGGUCCUCGGUUUGAAACUUAGAAAUGCAACUACAUUAAAUACUUAUUGGGAGAGAUUUGCCGCUUUAGUGGUCCUAUCCCGCUUGAAUCUAGAUUAGUCGGGGAUCUAAUGUGGUCUUUGGAUACUAGAUGAUUUAAAAUACCGAUAAUAUUGGAACCAAACUAAUUUACAAUUAUGAAGAUGUUAUAAUUUAAUAGAGGCAUAGUAACAAACUAUUAAUAGAGCGUAUAAAAUUUAAUGUAUAAACAAAAUUCUAUAAUUUACACUAUAAGUUGCAAGUAUUUAGGUCAAUACUAUUGCAAAUCAGAAGAUAUUAUCUAUUUUAUGCCGAAAAUAUUUCCACUAUUUAAGGAUAGUAAAACUUCUAUAUAAUUAUAAUAUUGGAACCAAACACCAACAAGCGAGUAAAUCAACUAGAAUGGAAAUGUUCUAACGUCAAGGUCCUCGGUUCAAAACUUAGAAAUGCAACUACAUUAAAUAUUUAUUGGGAGAGAUUUGCCGCUCUAGUAGUUCUAUCCGGGUCGAAUCUGGAUUAGUCGGGAAUCUAAUGUGGUCUUUGGAUACUAGAUGAUUUAAUGUACCAAUAAUAUUGGAACCAAACUAAUUUACAAUUAUGAGGAGGUUAUAAUUUAAUAGAGGCGUAGUAACAAACUAUUAAUAGAGUGUAUCAAAUUUAAUAUUGGAAUCCGAUGAUUGGUUGCAACAUAAGAUAUUUGUAAGCUUAGUUAAAGGUUCAUUAAAAAUUAUAGAGAUAUAUAAUUUCGCAGUCGAUGAAGCCGUGCAUGAGGUUAAGGCAAGUGAUGGAAUGACUUGCGUUACAAAAGAGGUAUGUGAAGUUGCACUAUAAAAAUAAAAUAAAUUUGUAUUUUCAAGUAGUGAAGGUGUAGUUAGUUUAUUUGCGGUAGCAGUUUCACAGCUGACAGAUGAACAAAGAGUGGUUGCUUGUCAAAUGGGCUUUGGUAGUUUGCGACAACUGAACCUUGGCAAGCUAAAAAGGAAACUUUGUGGCUAGUUAAUUGAGAUGAUUGAUACUUUGAGGUACAUUUUAGAGUUGAAUGGUAUUAGCUUUCAAACAAGAUCAUCAAAGAAACUCUACCAACUAGGAAAUUUAAACUUAAUCUAUGCUCCGCAAAUUCGAAUAUUCUCUAAUAUGAAACUACUUUUAUGUGUUUUAUUAUUCCUAGCUUUUACCGACUUGGUAACGUUGUUAUGGAAGCACGACAACUAUUAUGUCCGUGUAAUUUUUAUUGUAUCUUUUGUUAUGUCAUGAUAUCGAAGCUUAGUUUUAUGACUCUAACUACUAAGAACUGCAAUUGCAGCAUCUUUUGAAUAUUACAUAUGUGCUUGUAGUAUCUCGACGGAUUAAAACCUGCUAUUUAAGUUCUUCUACCCCCUCCCCCCCUUCAUUCUUUCAUUUAUACUUGCUGCACUAUUUACUUCGCACUCUGUAAAGCCAGAUGAAAGCUUGUUCAUUUAUGUUCACUUGCAAUUCAAAAGCACAGUUUAUUUCAACUGUCAAAUUGACAACUUGCACGUAUAGAUUUCAGUCGAAACAAGGUUAUUGGUCGAUCAAGAAAUUGAAUCCAUAUGGCCGUUCCAGCGUUAUUCAACUACCUAAUAUCAAAUAUAUAAAUUAAUUCAACCCACUUCUGUGUCAAAGGCAUGGAACAAAUUAUGAAAGAUUUUUCAGCUAUCAUAAAUUCGAACGAGUGUAGUUUGUAUCCUUUCGAACUUAGACAGAUUUUCCUUCCAUUAACCUUAUAGUGUUAGUAAUCCUAUUACUUGUUUUUAAAGCUUGAAUAGUAUACCGAAAUUUUUGGUUUUUGCAACAUAAACUUGUAUGUAAUGUACAUUUUAUAGUUCUUUACAAAUUAAUUGCUGCUAAAAUAAUUGUUUCGACUACUAUAUUUAUUGUUAUAAUAGAUAAACAUUUUCUUGCAACUCAAACAGUUCCAAUGGCAUGAUCUGCAUCCCCCGUUUGCCUCUUGGGCUACGAACCUGCUUAACAGCUGCACCAUCUUGCUCCUUUUCAUCAAACGGCAACUUCGCUGCAGACAAAAAGAGGGGGUACACUGCCCAGGGGCACCAUAAACGCAGCCCAAAAAGAUGAUUUUGUCUUUCCAUGUCUUAGUAUUUUAACCAAAAAUAAUAAUAAUAAUUCUUUACAUCAUCAAUGAUUGCACUUGUAAGCCAGGCAAUAGUUUUUUUAUUAAAUAAAAAAUUAAUGUUAAAUUUUUUUUUUUUUUUUUUUUUUUUUUAUCUAGCUAUCAUUGACUUAAUAUUUUGAAUCUUCAUCCAAAGUUAAGGCACAAAACUUUUAUUCUAAAUAAAUAUUCUCAAUAUAAAUUUAUCACUUAAAUAAUAAAUAAUAAGAUUUAACAUUAAUUCUGUCGUUACUGAAAUGAAUUGUAAAUUUUAUAUGACGUGUAAACGUAUCAUUAUGUUCUUGAUAUUUGACAUAUGAAUUAUAAAGCAACAAAUGUAUCAUAUUUUUAUUUCGGUAUUGUGCUUCUCCAUAUUUGCUUAAUUCUUUUCGUUGUACUCAUUGCUUCUCUUCCUCUUUUCGUCAACGACAAUGGGUAACCUAAUCUCAACCUUCUUACCAGCAGACUUAUUUGAUCGAAUUUCAAACUGCGUUGGUGAACAAGCAAAAUAUGUAUGGGGUCUCGAAAAAAAUCUUCGGAUCUUGGAGACUGAAUUGCACAAAUUGACUCGAGCAAGGGCCGAUCUGAAGACCAGGGUUGAGGUCGAACAACAACGACCUCGAACCAGACGAACGAACCAGGUCGCAGGGUGGCUUGAAGAUGUGCAAAAUCUGGAAACUGAAUUUGCCGAGCUGGAACGAGUCAGAGCUCAAGAAAUGGAUAGAUUGUGCCUUGGAGGCCUCUGUUCCAAAAACUUCGUUUUAAGCUACAAUUACGGGACUAAGGUGGUCGAGUUGACGGAUCGAGUGAUCAAUUUAAAGAAAGACGGAGAAAAAAUUGAAGUCGUUGUUGAGAAGGCGCCGGAUGGUGCAGCAAUUGAAUUACCUCUUGAUCACACAGUUGUUGGUCAAGAACUAUUACUUGGUCAAGUUUGGAGAUGUAUCACUGAUCAGGAAAAUAACAGGGGAAUUAUCGGCUUGUAUGGUAUAGGGGGAGUCGGCAAAACUACCCUUUUAAAACAAGUCAACAACA
rnacentral:lncRNA from 1 species